UCCAAUUCAGAAAUUACCAAAAUAUGCACAAAUUCAAAAAUUAUAAAAUCGCCUUCAAAUUUAACAAAAUUACCAAAAUACCCUCAAAUUCUAACAUUAUUAGAAUACCCCCAAAAUCAUAAUUUACCAAGUUAACCUCAAAAUAGUAAAUUACCAGCCUAUUCUCAAUUUAUACAAUUACUAAAAUACCCGCAAAGUGUGAAAUUACAAAAUUGCCCUCGAAUACGAAAUUACCGAAAUGGCCUUGCUGGUCAACGGUGACCCAAAGUCAACCAAAGGCGGUCGGGAAGCUCUAGCCUGAGAGUUCCAACCACGCUGAGUCCGAUGGUAUAUUAUGCCAUUUCAAAUUUUAUUUUUUCAAUCUUAUAUUUAAUAGAAUGUUAAUACCAAAUAAGCAAUAAUCUUAACUGAUUAAACUAAAUAAAUGGAUAGAUUUUAAACUCACCAAACUACUCAUUAAACCUAUUUACUAAAUUAACCCACUCUCAAAUUUUAAAAUUUUAAAUUUUACUUGAUAAACCCACUUAAUUACUCAAUAUACCCUUACUAAACUCAAUCUUUAUAAUAAUAGUGUUUUUCUCAUUAAACCCGUUAAAUUCAAUUAUAAAUCCUUAAUAAAUGUUUCAUUGAUUUUUUUUUUAAAGAAAGUUUUUGCCUUUCGCAUUUAUCAGAAGAUGAUGAUAAUAAGUUAUAGAACCCAAACUCCAAGCUACCAGAUAGAAUAGUUCUCAAUUAAGGGUCUAUUUGAGAUAGUGAUUAGACAGUUAUAGCUGAAAAACUAUGGCAUUAAAGUAUUUGGUAAACACUGGCUGCUGUAGUUUAGAAGCUAAUAUGAUAUGAUUUUUCACAUAUAUUAUGUAAAAUCUAUUAUAUCUUUAAUAAUUUUGUUAAAAUUAUUAUUUAAAAUUUAUAUUUAUUACAUAUUAUUAACUUUAAAAGUUACAACACCUCAAUUUCAAACAUGACCUAAGUUAAUUAGAAUGGCAAAAGAAUAUUUCCAACCUAAGGCCGAGACUUGUUUAUGAUUGAGCAAAAUACUCGCAAUCGUAUUCCAUGGCAAUAAACAUUCUAAGGCUUGUAUGAUACAUCAUAAUCUUAAAUUCAUUAAUUUCUAAAUAAGACCAAACCUCAAAAGCGAUGCCCAUUGUAUACAUCGAAUGCUGAUGUUAACACGUUGCCACCCAAAAAUGGUGACUCAACUUCAAUUUCAUUCAAAGUUGAGACAUUCUCAGUUUCGGACAAGGUGGCACCGAAAGAACUCAAAUUCUCAUUACAUUACAGAAAUUUUGACAGAAUAUGAUCAGGGUUUAAUGAAAAUAUAAUUAGAGUUUGAUAAAAUACGUUAAAUGUAAAGGUGGGUUUAAAAAGUAAAAAUUCUGUUUUUUUUAACUAUAUUUUAAUUUUCAUAAUUGUAAUUUAAUUUAAAAAUAUUUUAAUCAUAAAAAUUAAUCUCAAAAAUAGAUUUAUUGAGCCGUUUGUUGAGUUCAAAUAGCCCCACCUUCAUCGAAAUGCCCUCAAACUCAUAAAUCACAUAAAUAAUCUAAAAAUUCCAAAAUUAUAAACUACCAAAUCAUUCUCAAUUUCAUAAAUUACUAAUUAUUCUCCAAUUCAGAAAUUACCAAAAUAUGCACAAAUUCAAAAAUUAUAAAAUCGCCUUCAAAUUUAACAAAAUUACCAAAAUACCCUCAAAUUCUAACAUUAUUAGAAUACCCCCAAAAUCAUAAUUUACCAAGUUAAUCUCAAAAUCGUAAAUUACCAGCCUAUUCUCAAUUUAUACAAUUACUAAAAUACCCGCAAAGUAUGAAAUUAUAAAAUUGCCCUCGGAUACGAAAUUACCGAAAUGGCCUUGCUGGUCAACGGUGACCGAAAGCCAACCAAAUGCGGUCGGGAAGCUCUAGCCUGAGAAUUCCAACCACGCUGAGUCCGAUGGUGGCGGCGGUGACGAUCGACGCGCGGCGACGGUGGCUGAUCGAGCUCCCAAAGCCAUGAACUUUCCAACGGCUGACCGGCCGGGACAGGGCAGUUCCCGGUUCAGUGGAUGGUCGAAAAGGACAGAGGGGAUUGUGGGGAACAAAAUCCAACUGGUGGCCUCACCCAAAACUGGCAAAAUAGCGGUGAAACAAUGCGGCUUCAAUAAGCGGCUUUCCGGCCAAUAAUCGACGGCAAUGACGGAAUGGAAAUGACGGUCAGUUCUCAAGCUUUCUACUGGCACCUUCCUUGGUCGGUAAGGUGGCCGGAAAAUGGAGAUAAAUUCGGGUCGGAUCGCGCAGGUUCGGGUCGGAUCGCUCCCAUCUCUUUCCCUCUUUCUUUCUCUCUCUUCAUUUCUCUCUCUCUUAAUUCAUAGGGGUGUGGGGUAAUACAUAUGAAAAAAAAAUUAUGGUUUGGUUUAUUUUUAAAAAAAAAAGUAUGUCAACAAUUAUGACAUGGUCAUUGGGUGCAAUACGAAAUACAUUAUUUUAACUAAAGUACAAUGGUAGAGGAUACAAUUAAUAUUGUAUUAAAAUAUAAAAUUAAUUCUCUAAAUUUAAAUUUAAAAGUAUCUGGGCUGAUUUUGAUAAAAAAUAAUUUUAAUUUUUUAUUAAAUAUUAAAAUUAAUUUUUAAAUUUUUAAAAUUAUUUGUAAACCUGAUAAAAUAAUUUAAAAUGAACCUUAGAACUCAAAUUAAAAUUUGAAUAUUAAGAUUCUUAUUAUUACUCAAUGAUAUAAUAACAAUUAACAAUAUUUUCGUAAUUUCAUGAUUUAUUUCCUUUACAAUCGCAUUAAGUUCAGAAAGUUUCCUUCGAGGAAUAUAACCGAAUUGAAGAGGAAGGAAGACGCGUGAAAGCCAUUUAACCAAAAAUUCAUGAUUAGCCCAAUUUUUCAAAAGCUCCCUCAACAAAUGAUACUCAUCGUGCUUCUCUCUCAAGUAUGGCAAUGCCUUUCAUGGCAUAUAAUCUUGAAGUACUUGCUUUUACUUGUCAUACAGUUGUUUAGGAUCUUCAUCAAGAGGACGAGCCGACUGAGAACAAAUAUUGUAUACGGUUGUGUAAAAGAUAAAAGAUCAUUUAGUCUCUAUAUUUUAAGAUUAAUAUUUAUUUAAUCCUUAUAUUUUUUAAAAUCUUUGCCGUUAAAGUAUUGAUAUUCACACUGUUACUUUUUAUUUCUUUUGUCUUACUUUAACAAUAUUGUCCUUUUAUAAUAAUUUUUUUGCUUGGACAUUAAUAAAAAGAAAAUAAUUAAAUUACUAAUUUAGCCCUAAAAAUAAAAAUAAAAAAUUUAUAUUAAUUUUUAAUUUUUAAAAAUUAAAUUGUCAAAAAUUGUAUGCAAACUACCAAGUAUGCAAAUGGAGCUUGCAAAAAAAUUAUAAUAAACUAAUGGCAAAUUAACGGAACAAUACUUUACACUAUUAUUUAAAAUAUAGGGAUGAAAUAUGUAUCAUAUUAAAUCCUAAGGGUGAAAAGGACAUUUUCUGUUCUGUUGCUUUGCUUGACGGAAUUCAAACAAUUAGGAUUACGAAGCACAAAUUCAUCAACUUAAGGGAUUUUCUUUAUCAACGAAACGAGGUAAGUGCAGGAGGACAAAAGUUGUUUGCUUGAUAGGCCUUGAUUGUUGGCCCAAAAGUUUUAGCUGGUAAAUAACUUCCAAGCCCAUAUUCUUGUGAUCUGGGAAGUGAAUUCUCUAUUCUUAGACAAGAACUUUAUAUGCAGAAAGAAAAAUAAGAAAAAUGGUUGGUUGGUGGGGUGAGAGAUUUUGUUAUACACAUUGGCUUACCAAAUUGGAUUCAUGAAAUACAUUCAAAAUUUAUUGAAAAGUAAAAUUAACGAAUGGUGAAGAGAAAUCUCAAAAUAAUUGGGGAUAGCGAGAGAAAGGAUUGAAGAAGUCGCUAAAAAAAAAAAAUUAGAAAGGAAAAGAAGAACAAAUAAUGAUAAUUUUUCAUGUUCUUUCGUAUGAACCGCAAUGCAACGAAUAAUUGUCAAGAAGACAAUUUCUACCCAUUACUAUUUUGUUCAUAAUUAGUUCUUAGGUCUAUCUUUAUCUAUAGGGUUGUCUAAAAUUUUUAAUUAAUGUAUAAAACAUAUUCAUCGGUACGCGUACUCAUCACGAUAUCUAUGGCAGCAAUGCCAAUUAAUUAGUGCUUCAGGAAAAAAAAAUCCAAUGGAAUAGAAAUUAUAAAAUUAAUAGACUUGAAAUUGACUAGGAACUUUAGGGUUUCGUAGUGUGCAUCACAACCUAAGAACCUACUCCAAUGUUUCUCCAAUGCCUAAUUCAUUCCUCGAUUUCUCGCUGUCACAGCAGAUAAUCGAAUGAUCAUCCACCUUAUCUCCUCUAGGCAAUUGUCUGCAUCCAAAUUCUCCAUCUUCAAGAAGCUGACUUGCACGCACCACCAACAACUCAUGUUCUAGUAUGUCCGUCAAUUUCCGCUCGCUGCUUGGUUGCAGGUAAUGAGACGCUCUCCCUCUUUCUUUCUUCAAGCAUUCACCAACCUUGAGCAUGUAAUCUUCACUCGAAUCCUGAAGAAUCCAAUUUGAUGCCUUGCGAGAAUAAUAAGCCCCCGUAUCCUGAAGCAUAUGUUCUUCAAAAUCCUUUUCGUAACAAUGCAUCUUCCCCUUGUCAAUCUCAACGAAUAAAUUCAAUACAUUCUUCACCAACGUUCUGUCAAUCUCUUCUCCCUCGCGUUCUCUAUCGAUUAAAGCAAUUACAGCAUCCUUGACUUUGUCCUUUAUAGCUUCAAACACCAGAUCCCGGAAGCAAGAAAGUCCAAACGCAUUAAGUUUAGGAAGUUUCUUUCGAGUAAUAUAAGCGCCUUCACCUUGAAGAGGAAGGAAGACGAGUGAAAGCCAUUUAACCAAAAAUUUAUGAUUAGCCCAGCUUUUCAAAAGCUCCCUCAACAAAUCAUACUCAUCGUGCUUCUCUCUCAAAGAUGGCAAUACCUUUGAUGGCAUAUAAUCUUCAAGUACUUGCUUGUAAUUGUUAUACAAUUGUUUGCUAUUUUUGUCAAGAGGAUAAGUCCGCUGGGAGUUAAUAUUGUAUACGGUUGUGUAAAGCAUCAUGUAAUCCUCCAAAUUAAACGCUGGCUCCGGCAAUCCUUCGAAAAUCCUCUUCAAUUUUGUGAUUCCCCGCUCCAAAUAGUCCCAUCCUUCUUCGGAGUCACAUGCCUUGCGCUUCAUUGCUAAUCAAGUUUUUCGAUCGACGAUUCAAGAAAAAACUGAAAACCAAGAACUCGAUUCCUUCCAAUUUAUUAACUCUAUUGCGAAGUUGGGAUUUGAGAGCUUAAUGUAAGCGUCUUUAUAUAAGGAUGUAUAUCCUAACUAGUUAAGGAAAAGGAAAGCCUAAUUAGUCAAGGAAAAGACUUAUUAAGUUUCACUAAAUUUAUAUAUCUUCUCAAAUUAGGAAAAAGAUUUGUAAAUUUUCAACUUCAAUUUUUUUUUUCUUAACUUUGUAAGAGAUUUUGAAACAUGGUAUUUAAGAAAUUCUAAGGUGAGUAUUUAAUUUUUUUAUAAUUUUAUAUUAAUAAGACGUUUUUAAAUUUUUGUUAAUAAAUUUAAUCUUACCUAUCACCAUAAUCUCUCUUAUAUAUAUAUAGUACAUAAAAACUUAUUCUCACUUGAUGUAUGAGUUUCUACCCCUGUCCUCCUAUCUAUAUUUUAUUUAGAUGUCAAAAACAUAACGUUUUUAAAACUAACUGAAAUUACUAACUGAAGAAAAAAGUUAACUUCAUGUUAGUCACUUUUCAAUCUCUCAUGAAAAACUUCACUUCUUCUUCAUGCACAUGUCAAUUAAAUGUUAGUAAUAAAUUAUAGCAGAGAAAAUUAUCGACAUGACAAUAUUUCAAGGAAAGAAAAAAUCUAGUCACUUAAAUUAUUAUUCUUAUUCUUCUUUUUUUUUUUUUUUACUUGUAUUCAUUCUCCCUUUGCCAUUUCUUUUUUUGAUCUCGAUUGGCUAUCAAAGAAACCCAUCUAACCAUUUUGUUUUCAAGACUUUGUGUCGUUAGUCUAGUUUUCCAAUUAUCAAAAUUUAGCUAUAAAAUGAGAGGAGAAAAAGAAUUUAAUUUUGAUUUGAUUCGAAUUUUUGCUUAAGACAGCAAGCCUGGGCUAGACCCCGGAAACUUUUGGAUAUACCCCUUGCAUUUUUAUAAUUUUAUUAAAUAAUAAAAUUUAUUUUAUUUUCAAAUAUGUCCUCAAUUCAACUUUUUUUUUCUUUUUUUAAUACUUCAAAGUAGGAUUAGAUACUUAUUUUAUAAGAUGAUUCAAUUGUAUAUUUAUUGGAUAAAUUGAAAUCAUUAGGAUGCUAAAAUAUUAGUACGGAUAAAUAUUUAAUAUACACUUACUAAACUCAAUUUUUAUAAUAAUAAUAUUUUUACUCGCUAAAUCCAUUAAAUUCAUUUAUAAAUCUUCAAUGAAAUCAGUUAUUUUUUUUAACACCGAUGGAGAUGGUAAUUAAAUCAAAAUGAAUUUGUUAGCGUAGGUGCUACUUGAGCUUGUGAUGAUAAUCAGAUAAUUGAGAAUCAGCCAUGCCUAUUGUUAGCGGAGAGGCUGAGCUACCAUUGGUGAAUGGUGAUGCGGCUUAGCUUAAUUCGGCUCCACUAAAUGGCCAAAUUGAAAAGAAAAGAAAUUUAACCCGUUGUUUAAAAUCAAAUUUGCUUUUGAUUAAUGAUAAUUAAAGUUUUCAGAAAAUUUAAGGAUUAAUAUUAUAAUCAGAGCACAUGACUCAAUGAUCGAUGAUGAGCUCCAUUUGAAUGCGCAUCAAACCGUAGGAAGAUAAUUGAAAGUAAAAGAUUGCCCUCGUAAUUCAUGCCUCUAGUUAAUUAGGAUUUAAUGAAAAUAAGAUUAUGAUUUAACAAAAUUAUGUUGAUGUAUAGAUGGGCUGAAAAAAUUAAAAUUCUGUUUUUUUAUAUUAUAUUUUAAUAUCCAUAAUUGUAAUUUAAUUUAAAAAUAUUUUAAUUAUAAAAAAUUAAUCUCAAAAAUAAAUUUAGUGAGCCGUUUGUUGAGUUCAAAUAACACAACCUUCAUCGAAAUGCCCACAAACUCAUAAAUCACAUAAAUAAUCUAAAAAUUCCAAAAUUAUAAACUACCAAAUCAUUCUCAAUUUCAUAAAUUACGAAUUAUUCUCCAAUUCAGAAACUACCAAAAUAUGCACAAAUCCAAAAAUUAUAAAAUCGCCUCAAAUUUAACAAAAUUACCAAAAUACCCUCAAAUUCUAACAUUAUUAGAAUACCCCCAAAAUCAUAAUUUACCAAGUUAAUCUCAAAAUCGUAAAUUACCAGCCUAUUCUCAAUUUAUACAAUUACUAAAAUACCCGCAAAGUAUGAAAUUAUAAAAUUGCCCUCGGAUACGAAAUUACCGAAAUGGCCUUGCUGGUCAAAGGUGACCGAAAGCCAACCAAAUGCGGUCGGGAAGCUCUAGCCUGAGAAUUCCAACCACGCUGAGUCCGAUGGUGGCGGCGGUGACGAUCGACGCGCGGCGACGGUGGCUGAUCGAGCUCCCAAAGCCAUGAACUUUCCAACGGCUGACCGGCCGGGACAGGGCAGUUCCCGGCUCAGUGGAUGGUCGGAAAGGACAGAGGGGAUUGUGGGGAACAAAAUCCAACUGGUCGCCUCACCCAAAACUGGCGGAACAGCGGCGAAACAAUGCGGCUUCACCGCAAAAUUUUGCGGCUUCAAUAAACGGCUUUCCGGCCAAUAAUCGACGGCGAUGACGUAAUGGAAAUGACGGCCAGUUCUCAAGCUUUCUAUUGGUACCUUCCUUGGUCGGUAAGGUGGCUGGAAAAUGGAGAUAAAUUCGGGUCCGAUCGCGAAGGUUCGGGUCGGAUCGCUCCCAUCUCUUUCCCUCUUUCUUUCUCUCUCUUCGUUUCUCUCUCUCUUAAUUCAUAGGGGCGUGGGGUAAUACACAGAAAAAAAAAAAAAAUGGUUUGGUCUAUUUAAAAAAAAAAGAGUAUGUCAACAAUAAUGACAUUGUCAUUGGGUGCAAUACGAAACACAUUAUUUUAACUAAAGUAUAAGAGUAAUGAUACAGCCAUAAAUUCUUGUAUAAAUUUAUUUUGUACAAACUGACGUGUCAUUAAUUCAUUGGUUGAAUGAAAAUAUAAAAUAAUAAAAACAAAUCAUGUGGGCCAAGUGAUUUUUAAUUCAACCAAUCUUAUCAUGCCACAUCAGUUUAUACAAAAUAAAUUUGUACAAGAAUUUGUGGUUGUAUCAUUACUCAAAGUAUAAUGGUAGAGGAUAAAAUUAAAAUUGUAUUAAAAUAUAAAAUUAAUUCUCUAAAUUUAAAUUUAAAAUCAUAUGGACUGAUUUUGAUAAAAAAUAAUUUUAAUUUUUUUAUGAAAUAUUAAAAUUAAUUUUUAAAUUUUAAAAUCACUUUUAAACCUCCUAAAGUAAUUUAAAAUGAACUUUAGAACGCAAAUUAAAACUUUAAUAUUAAGAUUCUUAUUAUUACUCAAUGAUAUAAUAACAAUUAACAAUAUUUUCAUAAUUUCAUCAUUUAUUUCCUUUAAAAUCGCAUUAAGUUUAGGAAGUUUCCUUCGAGGAAUAUAACCUACCUGAAGAGGAAGGAAGACGCGUGAAAGCCAUUUAACCAAAAUUUCAUUAUUAGCCCAGCUUUUCAAAAGCUCCCUCAACAAAUGAUACUCAUCGUGCUUCUCUCUCAAAGAUGGCAAUGCCUUUCAUGGCAUAUAAUCUUCAAGUACUUGCUUUUACUUGUCAUAUAGCUGUUUGGGAUCUUCAUCAAGAAGACGAUCCGGCUGGGAACAAAUAUUGUAUACGGUUGUGUAAAGGAUAAAAGAUCAUUUAGUCUCUAUAUUUUAAGAUUAAUAUUUAUUUAGUCCUUGUAUUUUUUUAAAUCUCUGCCGUUAAAGUAUUGAUAUUCAUAUUGUUACUUUUUAUUUCUUUUGUCUUACUUUAACAAUAUUGCCCUUUUAUAAUUAUUUUUUUACUUGGACAUUAAUAAAAAGAAAAUAAUUAAAUUACUAAUUUAGCCCUAAAUAUAAAAAAAUUAUAUUAAUUUUUAAUUUUAAAAAAUUAAAUUGUCAAAAAUUGUAUGCAAACUACCAAGUAUGCUAAUGGAGCUUGCAAAAAAAAUAUAAUAAACUAAUGGCAAAUUAAUGAAAGAAUACUUUACACUAUUAUUUAAAAUAUAGGGAUGAAAUAUGUAUUAUAUUAAAUCCUAAGGGUGAAAAGGACAUUUUGUGUUCUGUUGCAUUGCUUGACGGAAUUCAAACAAUUAGGAUUACGAAGCACAAAUUCAUCAACUUAAGGGAUUUUCUUUAUCAACGAAACGAGGUAAGUGCAGGAGGACAAAAGUUGUUUGCUUGAUAGGCCUUGAUUGUUGGCCCAAAAGUUUUAGCUGGAAAACAACUUCCAAGCCCAUAUACUUGUGAUCUGGAAGUGAAUUCUCUAUUCUUAGACAAGAACUUUAUAUGAAGAAAGAAAAAUAAGAAAAAUGGUUGGUUGGUGGGGUGAGAGAUUUUGUUAUACACAUUGGCUUACCAAAUUGGAUUCAUGAAAUACAUUCAAAAUUUAUUGAAAAGUAAAAUUAACGAAUGGUGAAGAGAAAUCUCAAAAUAAUUGGGGAUAGCGAGAGAAAGGAUUGAAGAAGUCGCUAAAAAAAAAAAAUUAGAAAGGAAAAGAAGAACAAAUAAUGAUAACUUAUUCAUAUUCUUUCGUAUGAACCACAAUGCAACGAAUAAUUAUUGAGAAGGCAAUUUAUACCCAUUACUAUUUUGUUCAUAAUUAGUUCUUAGGUCUAUCUUUAUCUAUAGGGUUGUCUAAAAUUUUUAAUUAAUGUAUAAAACAUAUUCAUCGGUACGCGUACUCAUCACGAUAUCUAUGGCAGCAAUGCCAAUUAAUUAGUGCUUCAAAAAAAAAAAAUCCAAUGGAAUAGAAAUUAUAAAAUUAAUAGACUUGAAAUUGACUAGGAACUUUAGGGUUUCUUGGUGUGCAUCACAAUCUAAGAACCUACUCCAAUGUUUCUCCAAUGCCUAAUUCAUUCCUCGAUUUCUCGCUGUCACAGCAGAUAAUCGAAUGAUCAUCCACCUUAUCUCCUCUAGGCAAUUGUCUGCAUCCAAAUUCUCCUUCUUCAAGAAGCUGACUUGCACGCACCACCAACAACUCAUGUUCUAGUAUGUCCGUCAAUUUCCGCUCGCUGCUUGGUUGCAGGUAAUGAGACGCUCUCCCUCUUUCUUUCUUCAAGCAUUCACCAACCUUGAGCAUGUAAUCUUCACUCGAAUCCUGAAGAAUCCAAUUUGAUGCCUUGCGAGAAUAAUAAGCCCCCGUAUCCUGAAGCAUAUGUUCUUCAAAAUCCUUUUCGUAACAAUGCAUCUUCCCCUCGUCAAUCUCAACGAAUAAAUUCAAUACAUUCUUCACCAACGUUCUGUCAAUCUCUUCUCCCUCGCGUUCUCUAUCGAUUAAAGCAAUUACAGCAUCCUUGACUUUGUCCUUUAUAACAUCAAACACCAGAUCCCGGAAGCAAGAAAGUCCAAACGCAUUAAGUUUAGGAAGUUUCUUUCGAGUAAUAUAAGCGAAUUCAACUUGAAGAGGAAGGAAGACGAGUGAAAGCCAUUUAACCAAAAAUUUAUGAUUAGCCCAGCUUUUCAAAAGCUCCUUCAACAAAUCAUACUCAUCGUGCUUCUCUCUCAAAGAUGGCAAUACCUUUGAUGGCAUAUAAUCUUCAAGUAUUUGCUUGUAAUUGUUAUACAACUGUUUGCUAUUUUUGUCAAGAGGAUAAGUCGACUCAGAAUAAAUAUUGUAUACGGUUGUGUAAAGCAUCAUGUAAUCCUCCAAAUUAAACGUUGGCUCCGGCAAUCCUUCGAAAAUCCUCUUCAAUUUUGUGAUUCCCCGAUCCAAAUAGUCCCAUCCUUCUUCGGAGUCAAUUGCCUUCUGCUUCAUAGCUAAUCAAGUUUUUUGAUCGACGAUUCAAGAAAAAACUGAAAACCAAGAACUCGAUACCUUCUAAUUUAUUAACUCUAUUGCGAAGUUGGGAUUUGGGAGCUCAAUGUAAGCAUCUUUAUAUAAGGAUGUAUAUCCUAACUAGUCAAGGAAAAUGAAAGCCUGACUAGUUAAGGAAAAGGAAGAAGGAAAAGACUUAUUAAGUUUCACUAAACUUAUAUAUCUUCUCAAAUUAGGAAAAUGAUUUGUAAAUUUUCAACUUCAAUUUUUUUUUCCUAAACUUUAUAAGAGAUUUUGAAACAUGGUAUUUAAGAAAUUCUAAGGUGAGUAUUUAAUUUUUUUUUAUAAUUUUAUAUUAAUAAGAUGUUUUUAAAUUUUUGUUAAUAAAUUUAAUCUUACCUAUCACCAUAAUCUCCUCUUAUAUAUAUAUAUAUAGUACAUAAAAACUUAUUCUCACUUGAUGUAAGAGUUUCUACCCCUGUCCUCCUAUCUAUAUUUUAUUUAGAUGUCAAAAACAUAACGUUUUUAAAACUAACUGAAAUUACUAACUGAAGAAAAAAGUUAACUUCAUGUUAGUCACUUUUCAAUCUCUCAUGAAAAAUUGCACUUCUUCUUCACGCAUAUGUCGAUUAAAUUUUAUUAAUAAAUUAUAGCAGAGAAAAUUAUCGACAUGACAAUAUUUCAAGGAAAGAAAAAAUCUAGUCACUUAAAUUAUUAUUCUUAUUCUUCUUUUUUUUUUUUUUUACUUGUAUUCAUUCUCCCUUUGCCAUUUCUUUUUUUGAUCUCGAUUGGCUAUCAAAGAAACCCAUCUAAAAAAUGAGAGGAGAAAAAGAAUUUAAUUUUGAUUUGAUUCGAAUUUUUGCUUAAGACAGCAAGCCUGGGCUAGACCCCGGAAACUUUUGGAUAUACCCCUUGCAUUUUUAUAAUUUUAUUAAAUAAUAAAAUUUAUUUUAUUUUAAAAUAUGUCCUCAAUUCAACUUUUUUUUUCUUUUUUUAAUACUUCAAAGUAGGAUUAGAUACUUAUUUUAUAAGAUGAUUCAAUUGUAUAUUUAUUGGAUAAAUUGAAAUCAUUAAGAUGCUAAAAUAUUAGUACGGAUAAAUACUUAAUAUACACUCACUAAACUCAAUUUUUAUAAUAAUAAUAUUUUAACUCGCUAAAUCCAUUAACUUCAUUUAUAAAUCUUCAUUGAAAUCAUUUAUUUUUUUUAACACCGAUGGAGAUGGUAAUUAAAUCAAAAUGAAUUUGUUAGCGUAGGUGCUACUUGAGCUUGUGAUGAUAAUCAGAUAAUUGAGAAUCAGCCAUGCCUAUUGUUAGCGGAGAGGCUGAGCUACCAUUGGUGAAUGGUGAUGCGGCUUAGCUUAAUUCGGCUCCACUAAAUGGCCAAAUUGAAAAGAAAAGAAAUUUAACCCGUUAAUUAAAAUACAAUUUGCUUUUGAUUAAUGAUAAUUAAAGUUUUCAGAAAAUUUAAGGAUUAAUAUUAUAAUCAGAGCACAUGACUCAAUGAUCGAUGAUGAGCUCCAUUUGAAUGCGCAUCAAACCGUAGGAAGAUAAUUGAAAGUAAAAGAUUGCCACUCGUAAUUCAUGCCUCUAGUUAAUUAGGAUUUAAUGAAAAUAAGAUUAUGAUUUAACAAAAUUAUGUUGAUGUAUAAAUGGGCUGAAAAAAUUAAAAUUCUGUUUUUUUAUUAUAUUUUAAUAUCCAUAAUUGUAAUUUAAUUUAAGAGUAUUUUAAUCAUAAAAGAUUAAUCUCAAAAAUAGAUUUAGUGAGCCGUUUGUUGAGUUCAAAUAACACAACCUUCAUCGAAAUGCCCUCAAACUCAUAAAUCACAUAAAUAAUCUAAAAAUUCCAAAAUUAUAAACUACCAAAUCAUUCUCAAUUUCAUAAAUUACUAAUUAUUCUCCAAUUCAGAAAUUACCAAAAUAUGCACAAAUUCAAAAAUUAUAAAAUCGCCUUCAAAUUUAACAAAAUUACCAAAAUACCCUCAAAUUCUAACAUUAUUAGAAUACCCCCAAAAUUAUAAUUUACCAAGUUAAUCUCAAAAUCGUAAAUUACCAGCCUAUUCUUGAUUUAUACAAUUACUAAAAUACCCGCAAAGUAUGAAACUAUAAAAUUGCCCUCGGAUACGAAAUUACCGAAAUGGCCUUACUGGUCAACGGUGACCGAAAGCCAACCAAAUGCGGUCGGGAAGCUCUAGCCUGAGAAUUCCAACCACGCUGAGUCCGAUGGUGGCGGCGGUGACGAUCGACGCGCGGCGACGGUGGCUGAUCGAGCUCCCAAAGCCAUGAACUUUCCAACGGCUGACCGGCCGGGACAGGGCAGUUCCCGGCUCAGUGGAUGGUCGGAAAGGACAGAGGGGAUUGUGGGGAACAAAAUCCAACUGGUCGCCUCACCCAAAACUAGCGGAACAGCGGCGAAACAAUGCGGCUUCACCGCCAAAUUUUGCGGCUUCAAUAAACGGCUUUCCGGCCAAUAAUCGACGGCAAUGACGGAAUGGAAAUGACGGCCAGUUCUCAAGCUUUCUAUUGGUACCUUCCUUGGUCGGUAAGGUGGCUGGAAAAUGGAGAUAAAUUCGGGUCCGAUCGCGAAGGUUCGGGUCGGAUCGCGAACAUCUCUUUCCCUCUUUAUUUCUCUCUCUCCGUUUCUCUCUCUCUUAAUUCAUAGGAGCGUGGGGUUAUACAUAUGAAAAAAAAAAAUUAUGGUUUGGUCUAUUUAUAAAAAAAAAAAGUAAGUCAACAAUUAUGACAUUGUCAUUGGGUGCAAUACGAAAUACAUUAUUUUAACUAAAGUAUAGUGGUAGAGGAUAAAAUUAAUAUUGUAUUAAAACAUAAAAUUAAUUCUCUAAAUUUAAAUUUAAAAUCAUAUGGGCUAAUUUUGAUAAAAAAUAAUUUUAAUUUUUUUAUGAAAUAUUAAAAUUAAUUUUUAAAUUUUUAAAAUCACUUUUAAAUCUCCUAAAGUAAUUUAAAAUGAACUUUAGAACUCAAAUUAAAACUUGAAUAUUAAAAUUCUUAUUAUUACUCAAUGAUAUAAUAACAAUUAACAAUAUUUUUCAUAAUUUCAUGAUUUAUUUCAUUUACAAUCGCAUUAAGUUUAGGAAGUUUCUUUCGAGGAAUAUAACCUACCUGAAGAGGAAGGAAGACGCGUGAAAGCCAUUUAACCAAAAAUUUAUGAUUAGCCCACCUUUUCAAAAGCUCCCUCAACAAAUCAUACUCAUCGUGCUUCUCUCUCAAAGAUAGCAAUACCUUUGAUGGCAUAUAAUCUUCAAGUACUUGCUUGGAAUUGUUAUUGAGCUAUUCUCUAUCUUUGUCAAGAGGAGAAGUCGGCUGGGAAUUAAUAUUGUAUACGGUUGUGUAAAGCAUCUUGUAAUCCUCCAAAUUAAACGCUGGCUCCGGCAAUCCUUCGAAAAUCCUCUUCAAUUUUGUGAUUCCCCACUCCAAAUAGUCCCAGCCUUCUUCGGAGUCACAUGCCUUACGCUUCAUUGCUAAUCAAGUUUUUCAAUCGACGAUUCAAGAAAAAACUGAAAACCAAGAACUUGAUUCCUUCCAAUUUAUUAACUCUAUUGUGAAAUUGGGACUUGAGAGCUCAAUGUAACCGUCUUUAUAUAAGGAUGUAUAUCCUAACUAGUUAAGGAAAAGGAAAGCCUAACUAGUCAGGAAAAAGGAAGAAAGAAAAGUCUUAUUAAGUUUCACUAAACUUAUAUAUCUUCUCAAAUUAGGGAAAGGAUUUGAAAAUCUUCAACUUCAAUUUUUUUUUCCUAAACUUUAUAAGAGAUUUUGAAACAUCGUAUUUAAGAAAUUCUAAGGCGAGUAUUUAAUUUUUUUUAUAAUUUUAUAUUAAUAAGAUGUUUUUAAAUUUGUGUUAAUAAAUUUAAUCUUACCUAUCACCAUCACCUCCUCUUAUAUAUAUUACUUUUUUAGUACAUAAAAACUUAUUCUCACUUGAUGUAUGAGUUUCUACCCCUGUCCUCCUAUCUAUAUUUUAUUUAGAUGUCAAAAAUAUAACGUUUUUAAAACGAACUGAAAUUACUAAUGGACGAAAAAAGUUAACUCCAUGUUAGUCACUUUUCAAUCUCUCAUGAAAAACUUCACUUCUUCUUCAUGCACAUGUCAAUUAAAUGUUAGUAAUAAAUUAUAGCAGAGAAAAUUAUCGACAUGACAAUAUUUCAAGGAAAGAAAAAAUCUAAUCACUUAGAGUAUUAUUCUUAUUCUUCUUAUCUUUUUUACUUGUAUUCAUUCUCCCUUUGCCAUUUCUUUUUUUAUCUCGAUUGGCUAUCAAAGAAACCCAUCUAACCAUUUUGUUUUCAAGACUUUGUGUCGUUAGUCUAGUUUUCCAAUUAUCAAAAUUUAGCUAUAAAAUGAGAGGAGAAAAAGAAUUUAAUUUUGAUUUGAUUCGAAUAUUUGCUUAAGACAGCAAGCCUGGGUUAGACCCCGGAAAAUUUUGGAUAUACCCCUUACAUUUUUAUAAUUUAUUAAAUAAUAAAUUUUAUUUUAUUUUCAUAUAUGUCCUCAAUUCAAUUUUUUUUCUUUUUUUAAUACUUCAAAGUAGUAUUAGAGACUUAGUUUAUAAGAUGAUUCAAUUGUAUAUUUAUUGGAUAAAUUGAAAUCAUUAGGACGUGAAAAUAUUAGUACUACUUUAACUUAUUAUGAUCGACCCGCCCCGAAUUCCAUAGGCGAAUCUAACAGCAACUCAAAUAUAUAUACUUUAGAAAACUAAUCCUUUUACAAUCCAUAAAAAUUCGAGCUUCGAUUACAAAUAUAUUACUUGUACUGCAGUAAAAAAAUUUAAAAAUUUAUGCCAAACCAUGUACCGUCCUCAAUUCAAGUUCUUUUCAUUACUCAUCAUGAAUCAAUCCUGAUUUCUGGGAAUUGAAUCACAAUAAAUUAUAAUGAGUACAAAACUUAAUAAGCAAACUGGUUUUUCAUAUACCAAAAUACAUAUAUACAUACAUAUAUAUAAUGCAAAUGGAUGGCAUGCAAUGAUAUUCUAAAAAAUUGUAAAACAAAUCAUUAAGUUCAGGAAGUUUCCUUCAAGGAAUAUAAGCGCCUUGAGCUUGAAGUUGAAGGAAGACGAGUGAAAGAAAUUUAACCAAAAAUUUAUGAUUAGCCUAGCUUUUCAAAAGCUCCCUCAACAAAUCAUACUCAUCGUGCUUCUCUCUCAAAGAUGGCAAUACCUUUGAUGGCAUAUAAUCUUCAAGUACUUGCUUGUACUUGCUAUAAAGCUGUUUGGGAUCUUCGUUAAUAGGAUAAGUUGGCUUAUAAGGCUGUGUAAAGCAUCAUGUAAUCCUCCAAAUUAAACGCUGGCUCCGGCAAUCCUUCGAAAAUCCUCUUCAAUUUUUUUGAUUCCCCGCUCCAAUUAGUCCAAUUCUUCUUCGGAGUCACUUGCCUUUCGCUUCAUUGCUAAUCAAGUUUUUCGAUCGACGAUUCAAGAAAAAACUAAAAACCAAGAACUCGAUUCCUUCCAAUUUAUUAACUCUAUUGCGAAGUUGGGACUUGAGAGCUCAAUGUAAGCGUCUUUAUAUAAGGACAUAUAUCUAACUAGUCAAGGAAACAAUAAAACGACUUAAAUAAUGGGUUUACUAAACUUAUAUAUUUUCUCAAAUUAGGGAAACGAUUAAACAAUAUAUCUUCAAAUUUAAUUUUUUUCUAAAUUUUAUUAGAGAUUUUGACACAUGCUAUUUAAAAGAUUCUAUGGUGAGGAUUUAACAUUUAUAAUUUUAUAUUAAUAAGAUAUUUUUUUAAUUUUUGUUAAUUAAUUUAAUCUUACCUACCACCAUCAUAUAUUUCUAUAGCAUAAUGACUUUUUAUCACUUGAUGUAUGAGUUUCUACCACAGUCCUCUUAUAUAUAUUUUAGCCAGAUGCCAAAAAAACCAUAACGUAUUUAGAACUAACUAAAAUUACUGACUAAACCAUAACGUAUUUAAAACUAAUUAAAAUUACUGACUAACGGAAGUUAACUCCAUAUUAGUCACUUCUCAAAUUCUCAUGACAAACGGCACUUCUACUUCAUGCAUAUGUCAAUUAAACUUUAGUAAUAAAUUAUAGCAGAGAAAACUAUCAACAUGACAUUAUUUCAAGAAAAGAAAAAAAAUCUGAGCGCUUAGAUUAUUAUUCUUAAUUUCUUAUUCUUCUUAUCUUUUUUAUUUGUAUUGAUUCUCCAUUUGCAAUUUCUUUGUUUGAUCUCGGUUGGCUAUCAAAGAAACUGAUCUAACUAUUUUGUUUUGAAAACUUUGUAUCAUUAGUCUAGUUCUCUAAUUAUCAAAAUUCAUCUAUAAGAGAGAGAGGAAAACAAAUUUAAAUUUGAUUUAUUUCUAAUAUUUGCUAAGCUAGUAAACUGAUAAUAAAAAAAUUUACCUAUUUUUUUAAAAGUAUUUUUCAGUUAUUUUUUUUCCUUAUAUUACAAAAAUGAGAAGUUGAGAAAGAAGUCUAUACUUCCAUUUGUGUUCAAUUUUAAUUAGCCAAAAAAAAUUAGUUUUGGUAUAAAUACAAAAAUCGUAAAUAAAUUAAUUCUUGGGCUUAGUAUUUCUUAAAUGCCAUAUGUCUAAAUUUCCUAUAAUAUUAGAAAAAGGUUAAAUUAGGAGAGAACCCGAAUCCUAAAAGGAUUAUAAAAGAAAAAAAAUCAUAUAUGAGGUUUUUAAGAGUUUUUUGUUUGAAUGAUGCCACCUAAAUUCGAAUCUUGGAUGGGUAGAGGACUAAAAAGUUAAUUUGAGUUUUAUUGACUUUACCUUAAAAUUUGAAAAAACAAAAAGAAAAGAAACACUAAAUUUAACUUAAAGAAUUUAUGAAGUGUGAAGCUCUAAAUAUUAGAAGUACUUCGAAAACUGAUUUAAAUGUCGUGAGGCUAGGUUUUGAUAACACAACAAUGGAGAAAAUAUAGUGUAAAAUACAAGCAUUGCAAAGUUGCCACAACAAUUAUCGGAGGUAAUUCAAAAGCUCUGUUAUUUUAAUAGUUCUUUUCCCUCCAAAUCUCGAUGUAUCUAUACGUGCUUUUGAAUUAUGAAGGCUUUUGAAUUAUGAAGAUUGGAAAAGUCAACAACAAUAUAACUCGCUUUUGCAUUUGUUGUGCUCUGAUGCCACUCGUUCUCUAACACCAAUUGUUGUGUGCGGAAUGCGCAAUCAAGCGCAACAAAUAAUCACAAAAAAAUAAAGAAUAUAAGAAUUUAAUGUGGUUCACCAAUUAUGCCUACGUAGAAGCAAGAUAAAAUAAUUGAAUUGCUAAUAAUUAUUAGAGUAUAAAAAAUGAGUAAAGAAACCUCCCUUAUGAGAACCUAAAUACACCUAGUACUCUUGCAUACACUUAAAAGGAAAACCUCUCAAUUACUCACCUCUCCAAUUGUAGAAUUGUUUUUCUCAAAUUUUUUGGGGUGAUAUGGAAUGAAGAAAUGUCCUCUAUUUAUAAGAUUCAAGCUUGCACUAUUGCACCUAAUCCUUUAAUUGCAUUUCAACAAUCUUGGGCACCUUCAAAUGCAUUUUAACAAUUUCAGGCACCGAUUUGGAAAAUCUUUUAAUUUUGUCCAAAAAGUCUUCAUAAUUUUCGAAAAGUCUUCAUGCCUUCUUUUAAUUUUAACAAAUCUCCACAUCGGUAAAAAUUUUAUAAAAAUCUUAGCCAACUACUAGUGGAUCAUGAUACUUCAUUCCAAAAAAUAGUUGUAUCUUUGUGACUGCCUACCUACACAAAAUCAGGUAUCAAGCCAACUGUAGUUUAAAAAUUUCCCAAACUCAACAUGUUCGAAGGAUUUGAAUUAGUUUUAAGUAAUGUUGAAAACUUAAAUCUAUAAAUCACCUUUGUCAACAUAUCUACUGGAUUAUUUUUAAUAUCAAUCUUCUUAAACAACACAACACCACUCUCGAUAACCUCUCUCACAUAAUGAUAUUUCCUAUCCGUAUGUUUUGUUCGAGCUUGAUACAUUUAGUUCUUCGCAAUAUCACGCUUUGAUUAUUACAAAAGACCUCAAUGUUCUCAUAAAUUACUCUCAAAUCACCUAACAAGCUUUUGAACCAAAUAGUUUCCUUUGUAGCCUUUGUUGCUGCUAUUUUCUUUGCUUCCGUAGUAGAAAGAGUAAUUUUCGAUUGUAGAACUGACCUCAAACUAAUCGAAUCUUUACUUGAUUCAAAUAUGUAGCUCGUUGUUGCUCUUCGCUUGUCAAGUUCUCCUGCAAAAUCAGAAUAAUAAUACCUAACACAUUGUUGACUACAAUAUUUUUUUUAACAAUAAUCCAAAAUUAAUUGUCCCAUACAAAUAUUAGUUAAUCCACUUUACCGUAAGACAAUGGCUUUUACCUAGAUUAUGCAUGUAUUGACUAAUUAUACUCACGACUUGAGAUAUGUCAGGCCUUUUACAUAGCAUAGCAUACAUAAGACUACCUAAAUCACUAGCAUAUGGAACAUGAGCCAUGUAGUCACAUCUUCUUGAGAAAGAGGACAUGAAGAAGAGCUCAAUUUGAAAUGAGGAGCUAGAAGAGUAGAAACUAGUUUGGUUUUGUCAUUCAUAUCAAACUUUUCUAGCCACUUCUUCAAAUAAGACUUUUGAGCUAACCAUAUGCUUCCAUUCCUUUUGUCUCUACGAAUGUCCAUCUGAAGUAUUCUUUGUGGAUCAUCUAAGUCUUUCAUCUCGAACUUAGAAGCCAACUGUUUUUUUAAUCUUUCAAUCUCACUUCUAUUCUUCGAAACUAUAAGUAUAUCAUCGACAUAGAAUUAUAGAUAGAUGAAAAUUUUAUCUUAUAGUCUUUUAAAAUAAACACAGUGAUCUUGUUCACUUCUAGUGAAUUUCUGUCCUUGUAUAAAUUGAUCAAAUUUCUUGUACUACUGUCUUGGUAAUUAUUUCAAUUCGUAUAAAGAUUUAAUCAAUCUACACACUUAGUUCUUUUUUCCAGUAACUUUAAAAUCACUAGCUUGAGUCAUAUAAAUUUACUCCUUUAAAUCUCCAUAUAAGAAUGUUGUCUUAACAUCCAAUUAAGACAACUCUAAUUUAUAUUCAGCUAUCAAGGCAAGUAGGUUACGAAUGGAAUUAUGUUUACAACUAGAGAGAAUAUUUUAUUAUAGUCAUUACUUUCUUUCUGAGCAAAAUCUUUUACUACGACCCUUGUCUUGUAUCAAAGAGUUGUUUGAUUUGGAGAAUCUUGCUUCUUGAUGUAGAAUUAUUUAUUGCCAAUAACCUUUUCCUCUUUAGGUAACUUUACAAUUUCCUAAGUCUGACUAAUUUUCACUAACUAUUUUCACUACUAUAUAUAGUUUCAUUGAAAGUGUUAUGGAUUUCAUCAUCAAUAACUAGAAGUGCAUAACUAUUGUCAUGUCUUUUAUAAGCUAUCUGGGUUUCUUUAUCGCUCUUUUUAGUCUCCUUAUUGCUAUAGUUUCAUUUUCAUGUUCUACAUCUUCAGUUAUUUCUUCCUCUUGUGGGACAUCAACAAAAAUGACUUCUCCUUCAAAUCUUGAAGUCACCUCUAAAGUUGAACUCUUUUCUGAUGUAGAAAUUGGUAUAAUUAGAGUUGCAUCAAACUCUACCUACUGCAAUAUCUCAUUGGUCUUGUUCUCUACCUGUUGAGAACUUGAAGCCUUUAACAUGGAAGCUUAAUCAAAAGUAAUAUCUCUGCUAUACAUAAAUCUUUUAUUUUUGAGAUCGCAAAGCCUAAAACCUUUAACUCUACUUUGAAGCCCACAAAGAUAGUUUUUCUUGCAUGAGGAUCGAGCUUAGCAUUCUUUACAAGUUACAAAACUGGAUAUCCAAAUGUAUUAAUGGAGCCAUAUUCUUAUGCAUGCUUUCCUAACUACAUUUCCAUAAGUGCUUUCCUUCUAAUUACAGCAAAAGGCAACUAGUUUGUUAAGUGACUUGCGUAGCUUAUUGCCUCAGCCCAAAACAUUUUAUCUAAACUAGCAUUAGAUAAUAUGCACCGUACUUUCUCUUGAAAAGUAUGAUUCAUACGCUCAGUCACACUGUUCCUUUGAAAAGUAUAUUUCACUAUGAAAUGUGUUUUUGUACCCUCACUUUGGCAUACUUGCAAGAAUGGAUCAGAAGUAUAUUUAUCCCUAUUAUCAAAUCAUAAUACUUUGAUCUUUCUAUCAAUUUGAGUCUUCACUAAUUUCUUUCAUUUCACAAAAAUCUCUAAAACAACAUCCUUUGCUUACAUGUACACCUACACAUGUUUAGAGAAAUUAUAUAGACAUGAAAAAAAUAAUGGCUUUCACUAAUUGAUGCAAUCUUUCAAAGAUCUAAUGAUUAUCGUGAUUAGUCAUUCCAAACUUGACCUUUGUUUUCUUACCUGCAAAACAAAGCUCACAGAUUUCAUUUUAUAAGUAUUGGCACAUUUCAAAAGUCCAUGAGUUAUCAGAGUUAGCAGAGACUUUUCUUUAGUAUGUCCUAGUCAUACAUGAUAUAGCUUGGUGGUGUCAUUAUGGGCCUUGAAAAUAUUAACUAGUUAUAUUUCAUUUCAAGUAGUACAAAUUAUGACGCCACACUCUUGCAGAAUCACUAUAGCCCUAUAUGUGAAUUUCAUUGUGCUAUUUCGAAUGGUAACCUUGUAGCCUUUAGCUUCCAAAAUACCUAUAGAAAUUAGAUUUUUCUUUAAUACUAGAACAUAUCUAACUUUUUUUAGUUCUCUGACUAUUUCAUUAAACAUCUUGAGCUGAAUUGUUCCUAUCAUCAUUGUGCAACAAGGUUAAUAAUUUCCUAGCAUAGCUGUAUCAGAUUCUAAAUUUCAAAAAUCUAUAAACCAUUCUUUUAUGGGACACGAAUGAUAAGUUGCUUCCGUAUCAAAUAUCCACCCGCUCGAAAAUGUUGUAGGUGUAACGAUUAGUUAAUAGUUAGAGUUUUCAUUUUUAGGUGUCAUAUAUUCUGUUAUUGUUCUCUUCAUAUCUCUAUUAUAAGCUUUUGGAUAAUCUUUCCUCCAAUAGUCUCUGUCAUGAUAAAAGGCACACUCAUCUUGAGCUAUAUUUUUACUUUUUGAUUUGGACUAAGAAUCCUUUUUAUUGCGUUUUUUCUUUUUCUCUAUCGUUCUUUCUUUGGCUAAUAAAGUUUUAGACGAUGCUCUUUCGAAACGUUUAUCAUUAUUCUGAAUUGGUCAAUGCUAUGCUAAACAUGUUAAAAGAUUGUCACGCUUUUAUCAUAUAAUGACGUAGUCAUAAAAUGGUUAUAUUCUUUUGAAAGUGAAUGUAGUAGAAUCAUAGUCUUGACUUCAUCCUUAAUAUUUUCAUCAAGAUUCUUUAGAUUUGCAAGCAACUUCUCAAAUCUUGAGAAAUGGUCAGGCACUGACACCCACCCCAAGCUUCUUUUGAAAGCCAUAUGCAUGGCUGAUUGCAUGAAGGCGAUUUUCAGGACUUUUCAGUAAGUAAUUCUCCUUCAAUGUACACUACAAAGUCGUCGCACACUCUUUAUCUUUCACCAAAUAUCCUUGAUUAAGCAAGAUAUAAUCUAACCACAAGCUUUCCUAUUUAUACGAUCCCAAGUUUCUUUGUCAUACAAAUGUCUUUUAUUUUUCAAAACAACAUCAAGAUCAGUUGAAUAAGGGCAUCCAUAACUUCACACCUUCACAUGCCGAAGUUGAUUUUCCUAUCAAACUUUUCAACAUCAAUCUUCUGAUCUCCUAUAAUAGGUAUUAAAUGGUAAUGUGAUAAGUUUUGCCUCCCACUUAAAGUAUCUCCUAGAAUAGUUUGGGUUGAUCUUUCCUCACUUUUGUAAGUUUCACCUUUCACCGUUUUCUUAAUAAACUAUUUCUAUUUGAGAGAUCAGUACAUAUGAAAAAUGUACUAAGAAAGUUCUCAGAGAAAACUGGAGGGAUCAUGCCAAUCCUACUUAAAACUUAAACUUUUUAAGCUCUUAUCGCUUUUGUAACAGAAGUUUCUUAGACAUGUGUAAAUCCACACCACUACACCGGCUAUUGAUCCUCCCAAGUACAAAUUGUUGGCUCUAUUGUAUUCGUGAACAGUACUGUAUAUAUGAACAAUAUUGUCUACCCUAAGUACGAACCAUUGGCUCUAAUACCACUUGUUGUGCUCUGAUAUCAUUGUUGUGCAUAAAAUGUGGAAUCAAGUGCACCAAAUAAUCACAAGAAAAAAAAGGACAUAAUAUUUAACGUGGUUUGGCAAUUAUGCUAAUGUCCACAGAAGCAAGAGAAAAUAAUUGAAUUACUAACAAUUAUUAGCGUCAAAUAUUUGAGUAAAGAAACUUCACUUCCUGAAGCCCAAAUACACCAGUGCUCUCACUCACACUUAAAAGAAAAAUCUCUCAAUUUCCCACACUCUAAUUGCUCACUGUCAAUUAUUCUUCAUUUAAAUUAUUUUUCUCAAAAUUUUUGGGAUGAGAUGGAAUGAAGAAAUACCUCUAUUUAUAGGUUGUAUUAUUGUGCAUAACCCUUUAAUUGCAUUUCAACACUUUCAGCCACUAAUUUAAAACACUCUUUAAUUUCAUCCAAAAGAUCUUCAUGAUUUUGCAAAGUCUUCAUGCCUUUUUUUUUUUUAACAACAUUAUCUUUGUGGACCUUUGUUUGGAUUUGAGGAUUGAAGUGAUUUCUUACAAAAACAAGUUAAAAUGUAUUCCAAAAAAACAUCUUUGAAGCAUUUUUCUAGAAAGUGCAUUGAUAGUGUUUAUUAUGCAAAGAAGUGCUUUCUUUUGAGCAAAUAUAAAGUGCUCCUUUGAAAAGUACGUGCAGUAAUAAUAAUAAUAAUGAUAAAUGUUAAUAAUGAUAAUAUUAAUAAAAAUAAUAAUAACAAUAAUUAAUAAUAACUAAAAUAAAAAAGUUAAUAAAAUUUAAUAAUAAUUAUAAUAACAACAAUAAGGAUAAUAUUGUUAAUAAUGAUAAAUUAUUUAUUUUUAUUAAUUAUUAUUUUUAUCAUUAUUUUUAUUAUUAAUAAUGAUAAUAUUAAUGAAAAUAAUAAUAAUAAUAAUUAAUAAUAACUAAAAUAAUAAAGUUAAUAAAAUUUAAUAAUAAUAAUUAUUAUUAUUAUUAAUGAAAUUUAAAAUAAUAAAAUUAUUUGUGAUUUUAACAAGGGUAAUUUAGGAAAUAUGAAAAAAUUAGAAGGAUAGAAAAGUAAAUUUAUGUUUCAUUUCCAUUCCCAUAUUUUCAUUCCCAACCCCUCCAUGGGAAUGAGAUUCACAUUCCUUAUUCCCAAAUUAUGUGGAACCCACACAUUUUAUUCCCAUUCCCAAAUUACAUUUUACCAAAUAAACAUAGAUUUUAUUCCAAUUCCCCAAACCCACAAGUAAACACACUAUUAGAGUCAUGUUUUUUACAUGUUAUUAUGAUUAUAAUUGUUUAAAUCAUUAGGAAAUGGAUUCCUGAUAGUUAUAUGCUUUGAAACAUUUAAUUUGGUGUUGGUAAAUCAUAAAUAAAGUCGGGUCUGUAAAAUGAGUCAUUCAGGUUGAAAUAUGAAUAGUUAAGACUCGGCUGGAGGUUGAAGACGAUGUUGGAUGACAUGUCGUUUAAUAUAGAUGAACGACACGACAUGCCAUAUUUUCAAUUGCCUCACCAACGACAGUCGGUUAUUAGUUAAGGACAUGUCGUUUUAUUUAAGAAUAUAAAGACUACUUGUCGUCCGAAUGAUGUAUGCGACGAUAUGUCAUCCAUUUGUUUUAUUUAUGUACGACUUGUCAUCUACGUUCGUAAAUGGUAAAUGACAUGUCAGUUUAUGUCGGCUCAACUUUGUGAAUUUAAACAUUCAGAACAUAAAUUUAGGGUGAUUUGUUGUAUUUGACUUAAUGUUAUAAUAAUGGCAUAUUAAAAUUUGUAUGCUUUAAUUUUAUUUAGUUGUUGAUGCAUGCAAUUUUGAAUGAAUAAUUAUGAUGUUUUAAAAAAAUGUCAAGUGAUCUAAUAUGAUUUUAAUUAAUUAAGGAGUAGCCACAACAUUCUUAAUUAUGCAAAAUUAUAUAUUGAGUAUUUUUAGAUCACAUAUAAUAUAACGACAUUAAUUGUGAUUAAACGUAUUUAAUAUAAUGUAUUUUUCCCACAUGAAUUUAUGUUAUAUUUGUAUGUUUAAUUAAGAUAAAAUAUCAAACUAUUUUCUUAAUACACCCACAUGAAUUAAGCAUUUGAAUAUAGUUUGAUAGUUUGAUCAUUGAGAUAUAUUUGAAUCUAUUUGAAUUAGAACUUUAGCCCACAUGCAAGUUUUAUGUCAUUUGAUUCAUAUUUUUAACAUGAUUUACAUUGGUAAAACAUGAUAGCUCUAUAUUGGCCUAAAUUCAUAAUAUAAGCAUGUGUUUUAAUUUAAUGCAGUUGUACAACCUGCGAGUUUUUCUGAAAUUUUGCUAAUCAAGUUUUUCGAUCGACGAUUCAAGAAAAAACUAAAAACCAAGAACUCGAUUCCUUCCAAUUUAUUAACUCUAUUGCGAAGUUGGGACUUGAGAGCUCAAUGUAAGCGUCUUUAUAUAAGGACAUAUAUCUAACUAGUCAAGGAAACAAUAAAACGACUUAAAUAAUGGGUUUACUAAACUUAUAUAUUUUCUCAAAUUAGGGAAACGAUUAAACAAUAUAUCUUCAAAUUUAAUUUUUUUCUAAAUUUUAUUAGAGAUUUUGACACAUGCUAUUUAAAAGAUUCUAUGGUGAGGAUUUAACAUUUAUAAUUUUAUAUUAAUAAGAUAUUUUUUUAAUUUUUGUUAAUUAAUUUAAUCUUACCUACCACCAUCAUAUAUUUCUAUAGCAUAAUGACUUUUUAUCACUUGAUGUAUGAGUUUCUACCACAGUCCUCUUAUAUAUAUUUUAGCCAGAUGCCAAAAAAACCAUAACGUAUUUAGAACUAACUAAAAUUACUGACUAAACCAUAACGUAUUUAAAACUAAUUAAAAUUACUGACUAACGGAAGUUAACUCCAUAUUAGUCACUUCUCAAAUUCUCAUGACAAACGGCACUUCUACUUCAUGCAUAUGUCAAUUAAACUUUAGUAAUAAAUUAUAGCAGAGAAAACUAUCAACAUGACAUUAUUUCAAGAAAAGAAAAAAAAUCUGAGCGCUUAGAUUAUUAUUCUUAAUUUCUUAUUCUUCUUAUCUUUUUUAUUUGUAUUGAUUCUCCAUUUGCAAUUUCUUUGUUUGAUCUCGGUUGGCUAUCAAAGAAACUGAUCUAACUAUUUUGUUUUGAAAACUUUGUAUCAUUAGUCUAGUUCUCUAAUUAUCAAAAUUCAUCUAUAAGAGAGAGAGGAAAACAAAUUUAAAUUUGAUUUAUUUCUAAUAUUUGCUAAGCUAGUAAACUGAUAAUAAAAAAAUUUACCUAUUUUUUUAAAAGUAUUUUUCAGUUAUUUUUUUUCCUUAUAUUACAAAAAUGAGAAGUUGAGAAAGAAGUCUAUACUUCCAUUUGUGUUCAAUUUUAAUUAGCCAAAAAAAAUUAGUUUUGGUAUAAAUACAAAAAUCGUAAAUAAAUUAAUUCUUGGGCUUAGUAUUUCUUAAAUGCCAUAUGUCUAAAUUUCCUAUAAUAUUAGAAAAAGGUUAAAUUAGGAGAGAACCCGAAUCCUAAAAGGAUUAUAAAAGAAAAAAAAUCAUAUAUGAGGUUUUUAAGAGUUUUUUGUUUGAAUGAUGCCACCUAAAUUCGAAUCUUGGAUGGGUAGAGGACUAAAAAGUUAAUUUGAGUUUUAUUGACUUUACCUUAAAAUUUGAAAAAACAAAAAGAAAAGAAACACUAAAUUUAACUUAAAGAAUUUAUGAAGUGUGAAGCUCUAAAUAUUAGAAGUACUUCGAAAACUGAUUUAAAUGUCGUGAGGCUAGGUUUUGAUAACACAACAAUGGAGAAAAUAUAGUGUAAAAUACAAGCAUUGCAAAGUUGCCACAACAAUUAUCGGAGGUAAUUCAAAAGCUCUGUUAUUUUAAUAGUUCUUUUCCCUCCAAAUCUCGAUGUAUCUAUACGUGCUUUUGAAUUAUGAAGGCUUUUGAAUUAUGAAGAUUGGAAAAGUCAACAACAAUAUAACUCGCUUUUGCAUUUGUUGUGCUCUGAUGCCACUCGUUCUCUAACACCAAUUGUUGUGUGCGGAAUGCGCAAUCAAGCGCAACAAAUAAUCACAAAAAAAUAAAGAAUAUAAGAAUUUAAUGUGGUUCACCAAUUAUGCCUACGUAGAAGCAAGAUAAAAUAAUUGAAUUGCUAAUAAUUAUUAGAGUAUAAAAAAUGAGUAAAGAAACCUCCCUUAUGAGAACCUAAAUACACCUAGUACUCUUGCAUACACUUAAAAGGAAAACCUCUCAAUUACUCACCUCUCCAAUUGUAGAAUUGUUUUUCUCAAAUUUUUUGGGGUGAUAUGGAAUGAAGAAAUGUCCUCUAUUUAUAAGAUUCAAGCUUGCACUAUUGCACCUAAUCCUUUAAUUGCAUUUCAACAAUCUUGGGCACCUUCAAAUGCAUUUUAACAAUUUCAGGCACCGAUUUGGAAAAUCUUUUAAUUUUGUCCAAAAAGUCUUCAUAAUUUUCGAAAAGUCUUCAUGCCUUCUUUUAAUUUUAACAAAUCUCCACAUCGGUAAAAAUUUUAUAAAAAUCUUAGCCAACUACUAGUGGAUCAUGAUACUUCAUUCCAAAAAAUAGUUGUAUCUUUGUGACUGCCUACCUACACAAAAUCAGGUAUCAAGCCAACUGUAGUUUAAAAAUUUCCCAAACUCAACAUGUUCGAAGGAUUUGAAUUAGUUUUAAGUAAUGUUGAAAACUUAAAUCUAUAAAUCACCUUUGUCAACAUAUCUACUGGAUUAUUUUUAAUAUCAAUCUUCUUAAACAACACAACACCACUCUCGAUAACCUCUCUCACAUAAUGAUAUUUCCUAUCCGUAUGUUUUGUUCGAGCUUGAUACAUUUAGUUCUUCGCAAUAUCACGCUUUGAUUAUUACAAAAGACCUCAAUGUUCUCAUAAAUUACUCUCAAAUCACCUAACAAGCUUUUGAACCAAAUAGUUUCCUUUGUAGCCUUUGUUGCUGCUAUUUUCUUUGCUUCCGUAGUAGAAAGAGUAAUUUUCGAUUGUAGAACUGACCUCAAACUAAUCGAAUCUUUACUUGAUUCAAAUAUGUAGCUCGUUGUUGCUCUUCGCUUGUCAAGUUCUCCUGCAAAAUCAGAAUAAUAAUACCUAACACAUUGUUGACUACAAUAUUUUUUUUAACAAUAAUCCAAAAUUAAUUGUCCCAUACAAAUAUUAGUUAAUCCACUUUACCGUAAGACAAUGGCUUUUACCUAGAUUAUGCAUGUAUUGACUAAUUAUACUCACGACUUGAGAUAUGUCAGGCCUUUUACAUAGCAUAGCAUACAUAAGACUACCUAAAUCACUAGCAUAUGGAACAUGAGCCAUGUAGUCACAUCUUCUUGAGAAAGAGGACAUGAAGAAGAGCUCAAUUUGAAAUGAGGAGCUAGAAGAGUAGAAACUAGUUUGGUUUUGUCAUUCAUAUCAAACUUUUCUAGCCACUUCUUCAAAUAAGACUUUUGAGCUAACCAUAUGCUUCCAUUCCUUUUGUCUCUACGAAUGUCCAUCUGAAGUAUUCUUUGUGGAUCAUCUAAGUCUUUCAUCUCGAACUUAGAAGCCAACUGUUUUUUUAAUCUUUCAAUCUCACUUCUAUUCUUCGAAACUAUAAGUAUAUCAUCGACAUAGAAUUAUAGAUAGAUGAAAAUUUUAUCUUAUAGUCUUUUAAAAUAAACACAGUGAUCUUGUUCACUUCUAGUGAAUUUCUGUCCUUGUAUAAAUUGAUCAAAUUUCUUGUACUACUGUCUUGGUAAUUAUUUCAAUUCGUAUAAAGAUUUAAUCAAUCUACACACUUAGUUCUUUUUUCCAGUAACUUUAAAAUCACUAGCUUGAGUCAUAUAAAUUUACUCCUUUAAAUCUCCAUAUAAGAAUGUUGUCUUAACAUCCAAUUAAGACAACUCUAAUUUAUAUUCAGCUAUCAAGGCAAGUAGGUUACGAAUGGAAUUAUGUUUACAACUAGAGAGAAUAUUUUAUUAUAGUCAUUACUUUCUUUCUGAGCAAAAUCUUUUACUACGACCCUUGUCUUGUAUCAAAGAGUUGUUUGAUUUGGAGAAUCUUGCUUCUUGAUGUAGAAUUAUUUAUUGCCAAUAACCUUUUCCUCUUUAGGUAACUUUACAAUUUCCUAAGUCUGACUAAUUUUCACUAACUAUUUUCACUACUAUAUAUAGUUUCAUUGAAAGUGUUAUGGAUUUCAUCAUCAAUAACUAGAAGUGCAUAACUAUUGUCAUGUCUUUUAUAAGCUAUCUGGGUUUCUUUAUCGCUCUUUUUAGUCUCCUUAUUGCUAUAGUUUCAUUUUCAUGUUCUACAUCUUCAGUUAUUUCUUCCUCUUGUGGGACAUCAACAAAAAUGACUUCUCCUUCAAAUCUUGAAGUCACCUCUAAAGUUGAACUCUUUUCUGAUGUAGAAAUUGGUAUAAUUAGAGUUGCAUCAAACUCUACCUACUGCAAUAUCUCAUUGGUCUUGUUCUCUACCUGUUGAGAACUUGAAGCCUUUAACAUGGAAGCUUAAUCAAAAGUAAUAUCUCUGCUAUACAUAAAUCUUUUAUUUUUGAGAUCGCAAAGCCUAAAACCUUUAACUCUACUUUGAAGCCCACAAAGAUAGUUUUUCUUGCAUGAGGAUCGAGCUUAGCAUUCUUUACAAGUUACAAAACUGGAUAUCCAAAUGUAUUAAUGGAGCCAUAUUCUUAUGCAUGCUUUCCUAACUACAUUUCCAUAAGUGCUUUCCUUCUAAUUACAGCAAAAGGCAACUAGUUUGUUAAGUGACUUGCGUAGCUUAUUGCCUCAGCCCAAAACAUUUUAUCUAAACUAGCAUUAGAUAAUAUGCACCGUACUUUCUCUUGAAAAGUAUGAUUCAUACGCUCAGUCACACUGUUCCUUUGAAAAGUAUAUUUCACUAUGAAAUGUGUUUUUGUACCCUCACUUUGGCAUACUUGCAAGAAUGGAUCAGAAGUAUAUUUAUCCCUAUUAUCAAAUCAUAAUACUUUGAUCUUUCUAUCAAUUUGAGUCUUCACUAAUUUCUUUCAUUUCACAAAAAUCUCUAAAACAACAUCCUUUGCUUACAUGUACACCUACACAUGUUUAGAGAAAUUAUAUAGACAUGAAAAAAAUAAUGGCUUUCACUAAUUGAUGCAAUCUUUCAAAGAUCUAAUGAUUAUCGUGAUUAGUCAUUCCAAACUUGACCUUUGUUUUCUUACCUGCAAAACAAAGCUCACAGAUUUCAUUUUAUAAGUAUUGGCACAUUUCAAAAGUCCAUGAGUUAUCAGAGUUAGCAGAGACUUUUCUUUAGUAUGUCCUAGUCAUACAUGAUAUAGCUUGGUGGUGUCAUUAUGGGCCUUGAAAAUAUUAACUAGUUAUAUUUCAUUUCAAGUAGUACAAAUUAUGACGCCACACUCUUGCAGAAUCACUAUAGCCCUAUAUGUGAAUUUCAUUGUGCUAUUUCGAAUGGUAACCUUGUAGCCUUUAGCUUCCAAAAUACCUAUAGAAAUUAGAUUUUUCUUUAAUACUAGAACAUAUCUAACUUUUUUUAGUUCUCUGACUAUUUCAUUAAACAUCUUGAGCUGAAUUGUUCCUAUCAUCAUUGUGCAACAAGGUUAAUAAUUUCCUAGCAUAGCUGUAUCAGAUUCUAAAUUUCAAAAAUCUAUAAACCAUUCUUUUAUGGGACACGAAUGAUAAGUUGCUUCCGUAUCAAAUAUCCACCCGCUCGAAAAUGUUGUAGGUGUAACGAUUAGUUAAUAGUUAGAGUUUUCAUUUUUAGGUGUCAUAUAUUCUGUUAUUGUUCUCUUCAUAUCUCUAUUAUAAGCUUUUGGAUAAUCUUUCCUCCAAUAGUCUCUGUCAUGAUAAAAGGCACACUCAUCUUGAGCUAUAUUUUUACUUUUUGAUUUGGACUAAGAAUCCUUUUUAUUGCGUUUUUUCUUUUUCUCUAUCGUUCUUUCUUUGGCUAAUAAAGUUUUAGACGAUGCUCUUUCGAAACGUUUAUCAUUAUUCUGAAUUGGUCAAUGCUAUGCUAAACAUGUUAAAAGAUUGUCACGCUUUUAUCAUAUAAUGACGUAGUCAUAAAAUGGUUAUAUUCUUUUGAAAGUGAAUGUAGUAGAAUCAUAGUCUUGACUUCAUCCUUAAUAUUUUCAUCAAGAUUCUUUAGAUUUGCAAGCAACUUCUCAAAUCUUGAGAAAUGGUCAGGCACUGACACCCACCCCAAGCUUCUUUUGAAAGCCAUAUGCAUGGCUGAUUGCAUGAAGGCGAUUUUCAGGACUUUUCAGUAAGUAAUUCUCCUUCAAUGUACACUACAAAGUCGUCGCACACUCUUUAUCUUUCACCAAAUAUCCUUGAUUAAGCAAGAUAUAAUCUAACCACAAGCUUUCCUAUUUAUACGAUCCCAAGUUUCUUUGUCAUACAAAUGUCUUUUAUUUUUCAAAACAACAUCAAGAUCAGUUGAAUAAGGGCAUCCAUAACUUCACACCUUCACAUGCCGAAGUUGAUUUUCCUAUCAAACUUUUCAACAUCAAUCUUCUGAUCUCCUAUAAUAGGUAUUAAAUGGUAAUGUGAUAAGUUUUGCCUCCCACUUAAAGUAUCUCCUAGAAUAGUUUGGGUUGAUCUUUCCUCACUUUUGUAAGUUUCACCUUUCACCGUUUUCUUAAUAAACUAUUUCUAUUUGAGAGAUCAGUACAUAUGAAAAAUGUACUAAGAAAGUUCUCAGAGAAAACUGGAGGGAUCAUGCCAAUCCUACUUAAAACUUAAACUUUUUAAGCUCUUAUCGCUUUUGUAACAGAAGUUUCUUAGACAUGUGUAAAUCCACACCACUACACCGGCUAUUGAUCCUCCCAAGUACAAAUUGUUGGCUCUAUUGUAUUCGUGAACAGUACUGUAUAUAUGAACAAUAUUGUCUACCCUAAGUACGAACCAUUGGCUCUAAUACCACUUGUUGUGCUCUGAUAUCAUUGUUGUGCAUAAAAUGUGGAAUCAAGUGCACCAAAUAAUCACAAGAAAAAAAAGGACAUAAUAUUUAACGUGGUUUGGCAAUUAUGCUAAUGUCCACAGAAGCAAGAGAAAAUAAUUGAAUUACUAACAAUUAUUAGCGUCAAAUAUUUGAGUAAAGAAACUUCACUUCCUGAAGCCCAAAUACACCAGUGCUCUCACUCACACUUAAAAGAAAAAUCUCUCAAUUUCCCACACUCUAAUUGCUCACUGUCAAUUAUUCUUCAUUUAAAUUAUUUUUCUCAAAAUUUUUGGGAUGAGAUGGAAUGAAGAAAUACCUCUAUUUAUAGGUUGUAUUAUUGUGCAUAACCCUUUAAUUGCAUUUCAACACUUUCAGCCACUAAUUUAAAACACUCUUUAAUUUCAUCCAAAAGAUCUUCAUGAUUUUGCAAAGUCUUCAUGCCUUUUUUUUUUUUAACAACAUUAUCUUUGUGGACCUUUGUUUGGAUUUGAGGAUUGAAGUGAUUUCUUACAAAAACAAGUUAAAAUGUAUUCCAAAAAAACAUCUUUGAAGCAUUUUUCUAGAAAGUGCAUUGAUAGUGUUUAUUAUGCAAAGAAGUGCUUUCUUUUGAGCAAAUAUAAAGUGCUCCUUUGAAAAGUACGUGACUUAAUAAUAAUAAUAAUGAUAAAUGUUAAUAAUGAUAAUAUUAAUAAAAAUAAUAAUAAUAAUAAUUAAUAAUAACUAGAAUAACAAAGUUAAUAAAAUUUAAUAAUAAUAAUAACAACAACAAUAAUAAGGAUAAUAUAGUUAAUAAUGAUAAAUUAAUUAUUUUUAUUAAUUAUUAUUUUUAUCAUUAUUUUUAUUAUUAAUAAUGAUAAUAUUAAUGAAAAUAAUAAUAAUAAUAAUUAAUAAUAACUAAAAUAAUAAAGUUAAUAAAAUUUAAUAAUAAUAAUUAUUAUUAUUAUUAAUGAAAUUUAAAAUAAUAAAAUUAUUUGUGAUUUUAACAAGGGUAAUUUAGGAAAUAUGAAAAAAUUAGAAGGAUAGAAAAGUAAAUUUAUGUUUCAUUUCCAUUCCCAUAUUUUCAUUCCCAACCCCUCCAUGGGAAUGAGAUUCACAUUCCUUAUUCCCAAAUUAUGUGGAACCCACACAUUUUAUUCCCAUUCCCAAAUUACAUUUUACCAAAUAAACAUAGAUUUUAUUCCAAUUCCCCAAACCCACAAGUAAACACACUAUUAGAGUCAUGUUUUUUACAUGUUAUUAUGAUUAUAAUUGUUUAAAUCAUUAGGAAAUGGAUUCCUGAUAGUUAUAUGCUUUGAAACAUUUAAUUUGGUGUUGGUAAAUCAUAAAUAAAGUCGGGUCUGUAAAAUGAGUCAUUCAGGUUGAAAUAUGAAUAGUUAAGACUCGGCUGGAGGUUGAAGACGAUGUUGGAUGACAUGUCGUUUAAUAUAGAUGAACGACACGACAUGCCAUAUUUUCAAUUGCCUCACCAACGACAGUCGGUUAUUAGUUAAGGACAUGUCGUUUUAUUUAAGAAUAUAAAGACUACUUGUCGUCCGAAUGAUGUAUGCGACGAUAUGUCAUCCAUUUGUUUUAUUUAUGUACGACUUGUCAUCUACGUUCGUAAAUGGUAAAUGACAUGUCAGUUUAUGUCGGCUCAACUUUGUGAAUUUAAACAUUCAGAACAUAAAUUUAGGGUGAUUUGUUGUAUUUGACUUAAUGUUAUAAUAAUGGCAUAUUAAAAUUUGUAUGCUUUAAUUUUAUUUAGUUGUUGAUGCAUGCAAUUUUGAAUGAAUAAUUAUGAUGUUUUAAAAAAAUGUCAAGUGAUCUAAUAUGAUUUUAAUUAAUUAAGGAGUAGCCACAACAUUCUUAAUUAUGCAAAAUUAUAUAUUGAGUAUUUUUAGAUCACAUAUAAUAUAACGACAUUAAUUGUGAUUAAACGUAUUUAAUAUAAUGUAUUUUUCCCACAUGAAUUUAUGUUAUAUUUGUAUGUUUAAUUAAGAUAAAAUAUCAAACUAUUUUCUUAAUACACCCACAUGAAUUAAGCAUUUGAAUAUAGUUUGAUAGUUUGAUCAUUGAGAUAUAUUUGAAUCUAUUUGAAUUAGAACUUUAGCCCACAUGCAAGUUUUAUGUCAUUUGAUUCAUAUUUUUAACAUGAUUUACAUUGGUAAAACAUGAUAGCUCUAUAUUGGCCUAAAUUCAUAAUAUAAGCAUGUGUUUUAAUUUAAUGCAGUUGUACAACCUGCGAGUUUUUCUGAAAUUUAGUGUGAUAUUCCCGAGUUAAAUGGUGAUAAUUAUAAAGUUUGGAAGGAGAGAAUUCUUCUUCAUUUAGGGUGGAUGGAUAUUGAUUAUGCUAUUCAAAAAGACAAACCACUUAUUGAUGAUAACAACACUGAAGUCGAUAUUGCUCUUUAUGACAAAUGGGAGCGAUCUAAUCGCCUCAGUGUGAUGUUCAUAAAGACCAAAAUCUCUACUGUUAUUCAUGGUUCUGUUGAUCAACAUAAUGAUGCCCAGGCAUUACUGAAGGCAAUUGAUGAACAAUUUGUGACUUCAAAUAAGGCACUUGCAAGCGCCCUAAUAAUGAAAUUUGCAUCCACGAAGCUCACUAGUAUUAGAGGUGUACAUGAGCACAUCAUGCAGAUAAGGGACAUUGUGGCUCAGUUGAAACUUCUUGAUGUUGAUAUGUCCGAAACCUUUCUUGUGCAUUACAUACUGAAUACACUUCCACAGCAAUAUGGGCCUGUUAAAAUUUCUUAUAAUACACAUAAGGAUAAAUGGUCAAUUAAUGAAUUAAUGACCAUAUGUGUUCAAGAGGAGAGGAGGCUAAUAAUGGAAGUUGGUGAAGGUGCAUAUACUGUGACACAAGGAAAGAACAAGCUUCAAGCCAAAAAGAAUGGGAAAGGUAAAAUACCUCCCCAUGAAGAAAUUAAAAAACAAUCCAAGUGCUUUUUCUGCAAAAAGAAAGGACACAUGAGAAAGAUUGUCUCAAAUUUCUGAAAUGGCUUGAAAAUAAAGGUAAAUCAAUCUCUUUUGUUUGUUAUGAAUCUAAUAUGAUUGAUGUUAAUCAUGACACAUGGUGGAUUGACUCUGGUUCUACAAUCCAUGUAACAAAUACCUUGUAGGGUUUGCAAAACCUAAGGAAGCCAUUGAGAAGUGAACAAUGUAUCUUUUCUGGAAACAAGAUGCGUUCACAUGUGGAGGCAAUCAGAACAUGCAAUUUAAUUUUGAGCAGUAGUUUUGUUUUAGUUUUGGAAAAAACGUUUUAUAUUCCAAGUUUUUCUAAAAAUUUGGUUUCAGUUUCAAGGCUUGCAUCACUCAGUUUUUCCUUAAAUUUUUCAAAUAAGUUUUGUAAUUUAUAUUAUAAUUCUGAACUUCUUGGGAAUGGUACAUUAUCUGAUGGACUUUUUCGUCUUAAUUUGCAAAGCAAUACCUCUUACACUUCAAUGCAUAUUCACGCUGGUAUUAAACGAUGUGUUAUAAAUGAAAAUUCCUCUAUUUUGUGGCAUCAGAGACUUUGUCAUAUCUCCAUAGAAAGAAUCAAAAGAUUAGUAAAUAAUGGAGUACUUAAUACUUUGGAUUUUACUGAUUUUGAUACUUGUGUGGACUGUAUAAAAGGAAAACAGAUCAACAAGAGAAAUAAAGAUACUUAGAGGAGUUCUGAAAUAUUAGAAAUCAUACAUUUAGAUAUUUGUAAUCCAGACGUGGACUCAUAUGGUCAGAAAUACUUCAUCUCUUUUAUAGAUGAUUACUCACGUUAUAUGUAUCUCUACUUAACAAUAAAAAUGAAGCAUUAGAUGCUUUUAAGAUAUUUAAAGCAGAAGUAGAGAAACAAUGCGGAAAGCAAAUUAAGAUUGUGAGAACAGAUAGAGGUGGGGAAUAUUAUUGUAGAUACACUGAGAAUGGGCAAGCACCUGGUCCAUUUGUGAAGUUUCUUCAAUAGCAUGUGAUUGUUGCCUAAUACACUAUGCCUGGUUCUCUAUACCAGAAUGGUGUAGCAGAAAAAAGAAACCGAACUUUGCUGGACAUGGUGCGCAGUAUGCUUAGUAGCUCUAAGCUUCUUAAAUCCUUGUGGACUGAAGCUCUAAAUACAACUGUGUAUAUAUUAAACUGAGUUCCAACCAAGGCGGUUUCUAAAGUGCCAUUUGAGUUAUGGAAAGGUUGGAAACCGAGUUUACGACAUAUGCAUGUUUGGGGAUGCCCGUCAGAAGUGAGAAUCUACAAUCCACAAGAAAAGAAGUUGGACCCAAAGACCAUUAGUGGGUAUUUCGUUGGAUAUGCUGAAAGGUCUAAAGGUUACAGAUUUUACUGUCCAUCUCAUAGCACUAGAAUUGUGGAAUCAAGAAAUGCAAUUUUUUUUUAAAAUGACUUGAUUAGUGGGAGCGAUCUAUCUCAUAAUAUUAUUUCUGAGAAAGAUCAUUCAGAUACUCAAGCUUCCACCUCAAGUGAUAGAUUGAUUGUGAUUCGCAACACUCAUCAAGUUCAAAUAGGUGUUGUGCAACCAACUGUUUAAGACAAAGAAAGACUCAUUGGGCAACAUUGAAAGAUAUAAAGCAAGACUCGUUGCUAAAGGAUUCACUCAGAUAGAAGAAAUCGAUUACAAGGAGACUUUUCUCCUGUAUUAAAUAAAUAUUCUUUUUGUAUCAUUAUUAGUAUUAGUUGCUAAUUUUGAUUUGGAACUACAUCAAAUGGAUAUGAAAACAGCCUUUUCUGAAUGGAGAUCUAGAGGAAGAGGUUUAUAUGAAACAACCAAAAGGAUUUUCCUCUAAUAAUGGUGAGCAUUUGGUAUGCAAGCUUAAGAAAUCCAUAUAUGGAUUGAAACAAGAUUCUCGUCAGUGAUAUUUAAAAUUCCAUGAUGUUAUCUCUUCAUUUGGAUUUAUAGAAAACCUUAUUGAUCAAUGUAUAUACCAGAAGGUCAGUGGGAGUAAGAUUUGUUUCCUUAUUCUAUAUGGAUUUGUUUCCUUAUUCUAUAUGUGGAUGAUAUUCUACUUGCAUCCAAUAACAAAAGAUUGCUUUGUGAAGUAAAACAAUUUCUCUCUGAGAAUUUUGACAUGAAGGAUAUAGGUGAUGCAUAUUAUGUCAUACGCAUUAAGAUCCAUAGAGACAGAUUUUAGGGAAUUUUGGGUCUGUCUCAAGAAACUUAUGUCAAUAAGGUCUUGGAGAGAUUUCAAAUGAAAAAUUGUUCACCUAGUAUAGCUCCCAUUGUGAAGGGUGACAGGUUCAAUUUGAACCAAUGUCCCAAAAAUGAUUUUGAAAGGGAAUGAAUUAAAAAUAUUCCAUACGCAUCUACUGUUGCAAGCUUGAUAUAUGCUCAAGUCUGUACAAGACCUGACAUAGCACUUGCUGUUGGAAUCUUGGGAAGAUAUCAGAGUAAUCCAGGUUUAGACCAUUGGAAAGCUGUAAAGAAAGUAAUAAGGUACCUUCAAGGCACCAAUGAUUACAUGCUUAUGUAUAGACGGACUGAUAAUUUGGAGGUAAUUGGUUACUCUGAUUCAGACUUUGCUGGCUGUGUUGAUUCACGAAAAUCAACAUCUGGAUAUAUUUUUAUGCUCGCCAGUGGAGCUAUAUCUUGGAGAAGUACAAAGCAGACUUUGACUGCUACUUCCACUAUGGAGGCUGAGUUCAUUUCUUAUGUUGAGGCUACCUCGUAUGGUGUAUGGUUGAAGAGUUUCAUAUCUAGGCUUAGAAUUGUGGAUUCAAUCUCAAGGCCAUUGAGGAUAUAUUGUGACAAUUCAGCUGCAGUUUUCAUGGCUAAAAAUAACAAACGUGGAAGUCGAAGUAAACACAUCGACAUUAAAUAUUUAACCAUAAGAUAAUGUGUUAAAGAAAAGAAAGUGGUCAUUGAACACGUUAACACUGAAUUGAUUAUUGCUGAUCCUUUAACAAAGGGCAUGCCCCCACAAAAGUUUAAGGAUCAUGUAGACCAAAUGGGACUUGGUUCCGUCAUGUAAUUUUCAUUGUAUAUGCAAUGUAAUAUAAAUGAGACUCUUGAUUUUCGUUUAUUGUGAUGUUUUCUCAUCUUUAUGUGCACAUUUAUUUAUAUUGAGAAAAUAUCAAUUUUAUUGGACCAAGAAUAAACAUGGGUUUAUUCAUUAAGUUAAGUUAUCAUACGUGACUGGAUUUAAGAAAAAUAAUGCAUUGUAAUACAUGGAAGAUAACACUCGUUCUUAGAGGACUUAUCGCUAUGAUUCAUGUAUUAUAUUUCUUAAGUCUAAUGAAUUGAUAUCAAAUCAAGUGAAAUGUUUGGACCAAGUGGGAGAAUGUUGGACACCUGACUGUUGAGGUGUUUUUCUAAAAGAAGUCUCUAGUAUGUGGACCAACAUUUCAUUUGACAUUAAUUCUGCCACGCUUGGAGCUAGCUGUUAGAUGUUAUGAUAGCUAAUUAUAACUACCAUAACUUCAUCUUUGAUGGAAAGAUGAUAAUAUCAGGAGAUGGUGAAAUGGUUUUGGUCCCUGGCAGCUUGUAAUCAAAAGAAAUCAAAAAGUACACCAUCAUUACUGAUUACUGAAGUUACUGAAGUAUCAAAAUCAAAAAGUAAACAGUUGAAAUGACACAUUAAUGGCUGGAGGUUAGGUUCUCAAACUUCCGCAUUUAAUUUUCAAAGCAUGUUAUGUAUUAUUCGGAAAUAUGCUUACAUGUUAAUGAUUCACUUGUCAUUCUUGUGUGCCAUUAUUCAUGAAAGCUCAGUGCCCUGUUCUGCAGUAUGUGUAAGACCUUAAGGAUAAACCACUUAAAUUGCUUUUGUAUCUUUUACUUUAUUUCUGUUUUUGUUUCUUACGUCAGCCAAUCUCUUGAUUUAGGGUUCAUUAAAUUCGAUCUUGAUUGCUUGAAUCAAGGUCUUGGGGUGGUUAGUUUUUGUAUAAAUAUAUUUAUAAUCUUAAUGCAGUGGGCAACUGUCAUGAAGGGAAUUGGGAUACCAUUACUAUUUUGUUCAUAAUUUUAACAAAUUUUAUUUUAUCUGCUAUGAAUUGUUUCACCAAGGAAGUUGAUUGAUCAACAUAGGUUUAUUGGACAUAGAAAAUGCACAGCUGCGUUAGUUCCAAGCUCUAUUUUUAGCUAUUCAGUUAUUAAAAAUUCUCAAUGUACAUAAACCAAAACAAAAUAGAAAUUAUAUUACUUAUCCUGUAUAGUUAGAAUGCAGUACGCAAUUCAAAUAAAAUACAAAAUUAAAAAGAUAUUCUUAAAACUAGAGGACUUCAAUUUGAUUUGGAACUUCAGUGUACCAGGCUGCAUCACAGCUUGAUAUUAUCACUGAAUGUUGCCAUAAGUUCUGAACUCAAAGUUCCACCAACAGUUUCAUUGUAAAAACUCUCAAAAGCCUCCUUCAGGGCCUUGUGGAACAACUCGUGGUUUAUGAAACCAUUACUAACAUAUUCCAUAUACUCGUUGUGUAGCUCAAUUAAUUCCCGAAUAAGGAUCUGUUGCUGCAGCUUGCUCUUUGCAGCAUCUUCAGCCUGUUGUACCAACUGCGUACAUUCAGCAAUAACAUGCUGUUUGAAUGCACUAGCCACUUGUUCCAAGCCGUUAGGUAUUUUAUGGUAAAGCCUACACAUCCUGGAAAGAUCAUCCACCCUAUCUUGUCCAAGCAAUGCUCUGCAUCCUGCUUGUUCGUUUUCAAGGAGCUGAAUUGCAUUCACUACCAACAACUCAUGUUCUACUUUCUCCACCAAUUUUUGCGCGCUGCUCGAAUGCAUAUAAUGAGACACUCUUAUCUCUUUCCUUCUCCAAGCAUUCCUCAGCCUUGAUCAUGUAAUCUGGACACGAAUCCGAAAGAAUCCAAUUCGAUACCUUACAAGAAUAGUAAUUACCGGUAUCCCGAAGCAUAUGUUCUUCAAAAUCCUUUUCAUAACAAUCCAUCUUCCCCUGUCCAAUCUCAACAAAGAUAUUCCAAUACAUUCUUCAGUAAUGCCCUGUCAAUCUCUUCUCCCUCGCGUUCUCUAUCAAUUAAAGCAAUUACGACAUCUUUUGCUUUAUGCUUUAGAGCAUCAAAAACCAGAUCCCGGAAGCAGGUAAGUCCAAUUUCACUAAUUGUAGGAAGUGCUCUUUGACGAAUGUAAUAGCGUUCGAGAUAGUUGAAGCAGAGUGCCAGCCAUUUAACCAUAACUUUAUGAUUAGCAAAUCUUUUCACAAGCUCCCUCAGCAAAUGCUCAUCAUGCUUCUCACUCAAAGAUGGAAAUACCGUUGAUGACAUAUAUUCUUCAAGAUCUUGCUUGCACUUGUUAUACAGCUGAGCAGAAUAUCCAUGAUGAGGCCCCUGGAUGCAAGUAGAGUAGACAGAGCUGUAAAGCAUAACGUAAUCGUCCACAUUAAAGGGUGGCUCUGGUAAUCCUUCCGAAAUCCUCCUCAAUUUUGUGAUCCAUUUCUGGAUAAUGUCCCAUCCUUCAUCCAUGUCAAUUUCCUUGUGCCCCAUUGCUAAACAAUUACCAUCCAUGAAAGCAAUAACUUAAGAAAAAGCUGAAAACUAACUAGCUAUUUUAUUCUAAUCUUUCAACUCUAUGGCGAAUUUGUGACUUGAUAGCUCAACGUAGGUGCCUUUAUAUAGUUUUACCAUGUAUCCGAACUAGACAAGAAAUCCUAGGCCCGCAUUUUUGUAAUAGACAAAUUUUUCUUAAUCUAACAAGGAUUCUUUUCCGUUGGAAGAGUCCUUCUAGAAUUUUAAUAAGACAUGCCAAUAUUUAUAAUACAAAUACGUACCUGGCAUCCAGAAUUCGAAUAGCCUCUUCCUCUUCCUCUCUGUCCGCUCUUUCAGUAUAAGCUGUCAUCAUCGAUCUCUUUGCAUUCGAAUUACUAAUUAUUCUUUUAACUAUAUAUAUAUAUAUAUAUAUUAAUCUUUACUUCUUGGGCUAGAUCCUGGAAAAUUUCCCUUAUAGCCUUUACAUUUUUACAAUUUGUAUUAAAUAAUAAAUUUUUUUAUUUUAUGUUCAAGUAUGUUCCCAAUUCAAUUUUUUUCUUUCUUCAUUUUUAAAGUAGAGUUAGAGACUUAUUUUACAAUAUAACUCAGUUGUAUAUUUAUUGGAUAAACUGAAAUCAUUAGGAGGCUAAAAGAUUAGUACUAAUUCAACUUAUUAUAAAAAGUAUUAUGGUUUGUUCUAAUUGAAAAAAGAAAAAAAAAGAUAUGCCAAUAUAUUAUAACAUUCCCACUAGGAGUAAUUUUAAAAUAAGGAAAUCUAUUAUUCUAAUUAAAAUAAUAAUGGUAUGUGUCACUCAUCUAAUGGGCAAUGAAGGUAAAAUUACUUGUCACUCUAAUUCUACAAUCUAAUUGAUGAAUGGCACAUUAUUUGUAACUCAAUUUGGGACUCAAAUAAUGAGAUUCCUAGCAUUACUCAAUGAUAUAGUAACAAUUAACAACAUUUUUCAUAAUUUCAUGAUUUAUUUUUGUUCAUGCCAAAAUAUGGUCGUGUCAAUGUGCGGGUUACUUACUAGAUUCUAAUGACAACAUUAAAAUUUAUUUGUUCGAGGAGACGGUUUCUAGCCUCAAUUUAGCAACCUGAGCAAAAGUUGGCGACCAGGAAUCCGAUCUAGUGAGCAAGAAAUAGAGAGCAUGAUCCAAUCCUAGUGAGCACCUGCAACCAAAGAAACGGUCAGGGGUGCCGAAAGUUUUUCCGGCAUUAACCCUUCGAAGCUCAAGUUAGUAUCAAGGAUUUUCAUGUGAUAAUCGGGUGUAUGAAUGUUUGUGUAAAAAGACCUAAUCAAAAUGGACCAAAGAGAGAAAAAUUGGAAGAAACUCUCCCUUAAAUAGUAAAGAAUGAUAGCGAAGAGGGAAGACCAAUUGAAAAAUAAAAAGGAUAAGAAAGAUCAUAGAUCAAUCUUCAAAUUUCAAUUUGAUUAAGUAGGAUUUCUAGAGUUCAAAAAUUUGUCCAUCCCUUAUCCUUUUGGGAGUUUUAUAAGAAUGGCAAAGCCAACAGAGUCAAGUUUCAAGGAAAACCUAAUUCUGGUAGCUUUAUUUUAUCACCCAAACAAUUUCCUUCACAGUCAUACUUAUUCUUUUUCAUUUCAUUAAAUUAUAUUAUUCAAAUGUAUCACGUUCUAUAUCACCAAAAUAAAACAGAAUUUCAUAAAUAGUUUCUUUAAUGCAUAAUUUAAUUAUUUAUAUUAUAAGCUUGUUUGUUGUAUUGUUAUCAUUCUUUUAUUAAAUAUAUGUAAUUUACUAGGAGUUUUAAUGUUUAUGUUUUUUUCCCUCUUUCUUUACAAGAACCAACAUUCACACAAACAUUUACCAUAAAUUUAUAAAUUAGUCCAGGAUAAUAAAAGUCAUGGGUUUGCCUCUGCUAUUAAGAAAUGUUGUAUUGUUAUCAUUCUUUUAUUAAAUAUAUGUAAUUUACUAGGAGUUUUAAUGUUUAUGUUUUUUUCCCUCUUUCUUUACAAGAACCAACAUUCACACAAACAUUUACCAUAAAUUUAUAAAUUAGUCCAGGAUAAUAAAAGUCAUGGGUUUGCCUCUGCUAUUAAGAAAAAUUAAGACAAAAUGCUAUAACAAAUACAGAGCAACACACAUUUAUCAGUCAAACAUCCAUUAAGAUUGUUUAUUACUCAACCACAAUCAAAUUCAGUUCAUUAUUUGCAAUAGAACAGUGAAUAAAAUUAUUUUAACCAUCAAAUACAUUCCCAUAAAUAAAUAGCAAACAAGAAAAUAAGAAGAAGAAUUGAGCUCUGUUUGGUCUUUGUGACAUCUCCUUUGUUUUUUACUUGAGUCCUCUAUUACAACCUUCAAUCUAUCUCAUAAUUUUUGUUUUCUUGUUUUUUUUUUCAGUAUUCUCCUUGGCUGAUGGCUCUCCUUUUUUUUUUUUUUUCUUUUCAUGCGUGCUCCUUUUAUAACUUGAGAUUAGGGCAACAAAAAGUGUGUGCGCAUAUCCUCCAUUUUUGGAAACUUCAUAUCGCAAUCUUUUAGUUAUUGCGCCGAAAUCCAGUCUGUUAGUGCUCCAAGAUUUCUACAGCAACGGCUACAGCAUCUUCACUUAUUCGAACUUGUGUUAACUCAUCUGUAGUCAAGUUUUUUCAUUAUCUCUACAAGUCUUUUGCAAUAGCGUUCCUUCCCUAAAACUUGAGCUUCUCGGUCAUCUAUAAUCAUGCACAUAAUCUUAGCACAAAAAUGAUCUAGACAACUCAAUUUAUUAAAAAUAAUCUAAAAUAGAUGUUUAUGUAAAAUGUAACUAAAAUGCAAUAAAAAAAACACAUUAUUUACUCUCUAAAUAAUAUUGAUUUAAGUUUAAAAGUGUCAUGAUAACUCUCAUUUCAUAAAGUUAUCAGUUACUUUGCAUAUCCCUUUUCCGGGAUUCUACUUUGCUCAGAUAAAAUAAUUCGAACUCGCCCUUACAAUCUAGUGUUUUGUGUUAAUGUUGGCCAAUGUCAACAAUCUACCAAUUUCAACAAUGGCAGCACCGAAUUCGGUGCAGCCAAAAUCAAAGUUAAAAAAAAAAAAAGGCAUGAACAGUCGCUAAUUUUUUGCUAUAAAAGGAGGAUGCUCCUUCUUAUUUCAGCGUCCAAUUCUUCAAUUUCUAUUCUUUUCUUUAGAGAGAAAUUGAGAGUCGAGAGUUUCAAAGCUUUAAAAUCUUGAUUUAGUGAUUUAAGAAAUUAGGUGUAUUAGAGUUCUGGAUAAUGAGCCCAAAUAUUACAAUAUUUGUAAUCAUCUUUUCACUAGUAAAGUUUUAUCUUUCUGUCUUUACCCGUGGAUGUAGGCUAAAAGUAUGACCGCAUAAAUUUUUGUCAUGUUUAUGUGCAUAUUCUUUUUUUCUUCUAAUUUCAUUUCAGCUGUGACCCUACUUCACCCAUCAAUUUUCUAACAGUGGUAUUAGAGCUAAUGAUUAUAUUUUUUAGAGUCGAGGGUACUAUUCAUGCAUAUAGUAUUGUUCAAGUAUACAGUACUAUUCAAGUAUAUGACAUUGUUGAUGUAUACGGUUACUAUUCAUAUGAAAUGAUAGGAGCUGAUCCUAGCAAAAGUAGUUUGUGGUGAAAAGUAAUGGCAGAAAUAUACGAUAAUGAAAAGUUCAAUAGAAAUAAUUUCCCAUUGUAGAAAAUGAAUAUAAAAGUUAUUUUGAAGAAGAAUAAUUGCUUGGCAGCAAUUGAAGAAAUGCCCAUGGAGAUAACUGAUGAUGACAAGUGGAAUGAAAUGGAAGGCAAUGCCAUUGUUGAUCUACACUUGACACUUACAGAUGGGGUGUUAUCCAAUUUGACGGAGAAAAAGACAGCAAAGGAAAUAUAGAAUACUCUCACAAGAUUGUACGAGGCCAAGUCGCUACACAACAAAAUCUUCUUAAAGAUGAGACUUUAUACUCUUUACAUGGCGAAAUCUGCAUCGGUGACUGACCAUAUUAAUACUUUAAAGACUCCACUUUCGCAACUCACAAAGAGCCAAACUCAAUGUUCUUCCUUGUCCCUUGAGUUUGAGAGGACUGUUAUGGAAGCUCAUUUCAUACAAAAGAAGAAGAAAGAAAAUAGAAUUGUGACGUCAGAAGUUAGUGACCAAGAUGACAUAUCAGCAUAAAUCAUUAAAAAUUUGUUACAACGCAAUGUGUACUGUGUGUUGAAGUUCAGCUUGUAAUUAGUUAAUAGUUAGUUAUCAAUUAGUAAUGAUAGUGAUACUUAAGAGAUGUAUAUAAAUAGAGAUUGUAUUCUUGUAACAGAUUAAGCUGAGUAAUAAUAAUAAUACAGAUUCUAGAAACAUCUUUUCUCUUAUCUAUUUUCUCAGCAACCAAACAACAUCUCUAUUUUCUUUUAAAAUCUUUUAAGGUUUGUAUGAUAACAGAGUUAGAAUUACUUACUAGAGUGUGAUUCCUUGAAACAUUAUUUUUUAUUUUUUUACUUGAGAUGAUUAAUUUGGUGUUUGAUGAAAAAUGAAAUAUGUGGAAAAUUUUUAUUCUCUGCAUUCAUACGAAAAACAUAAUUGAAAUCAUUAAUCAUCGUAUAGCCUUGUGAUUUUUAGUGACACUUAUUUUGGGUGUUCCUUUUUAGAAACUCUCUUUCUUUCUUUUUCAGAUAUUUGUGCACUUGACGAUCAUGAAAACAGUUACCUUGAACGUUGAGAAAUCUGAGACCAUCAAAAAUCUCAAAGGUAUGGUACAUGAGAAGGAAGGGACAUCUGAAGAUAUUCAGGAUCUCUUCUUUGCUGGUGACAGGCUUAUGAAUGGCAGGUUGAUUGAUUAUGGUAUGAGAGCAACUCUACGCUCCAUCUUAUUGAACAGACAUCGAACGGACAAAACUUGUUUGUGAAAAUGCCAACGAAUGAGAGACCCGUUCUGGUGGAAGCAAUGGCUCACCAUAACACAUCAAAUCCCUGAUUCAUGUUAAGAAGGGGAUUCAGUCCGAUCGAUUCAUCCUUGUUUAUGAUGGAAAUCUUCUUGAAGAGGACAUGGCACUAGCUUCCCCGAAUGUCAAAAGGGAGUCAACAAUGCAAUUGCUCUUUUGUGCAAUUAAGGUUCUAUCCAUUUCUAUGAAAGCCCCAUCUGACGAUAUUCUGAAACUGAAAGUUAAAGUUUUUUUACUGUUGCUGAUGUCAAAGCAAUAGUUGGGAGUAUCACAGGCGUCUCUGUCAGCGAUUUGAUUAUGAACUAUGCAGGAAAGCUGCUUGAGGAUUGCAAGACUUUGGCAUUUUAUGACAUCAAAGAAGAGUGAAUGUUAGCGAUGUUUCCUUCAUUGAUUCAGAUUUUUGUUAAAAUGCUGACUGAAGAGAUUGUGAAACUCUAAAGUUAAAGUUUUGCUUACUAUUCGUGAUUUAUUUUGCACAGGAAUGAAGCUCAAGGAUUGCAAGACCUUGGCUUGUUACGGUGUCAAAGAUGACAGGGGUGUUGCCUGCUUCAUUUCAGAUAUUUGUUAAGACUUGGACUGCAUGGUAACACUACAUGUCGAGCUAUGUAACAAAAUAAAAGUUCCAAAAGAAAAGCUUUUUUACAAGCUGCAGAUUCCCCUUGAGCGUCAUAGUAUUGUAUAUGGUGGAAAGUGGCUGAAGGAUAACCUGGAUCUGGCAAGCCACGACAUCCAAAAGGACGCUACUCUCCACUUGGUUUUGCGCCCUGGGAUUCUAUUUUGUUUUCUGAUCUCGAGGAUAUGGCUUAACCUAAAUUUUGAGUUCCAGUAAAGGAAUUACAUUCUGUCAAGUGGUAGUACAGGAUGACUUCUCCUGACAGAUUAUGGUAUGAACUUUAUCACAAGACUGGCUCUAGCAUUUUGAAAGGAACUAAUAUAUACCUUUUUAUACAAUAUUGCUUAAUGACAGUACUUUCGAUAAUUAGUCGAACUUCUGAAACCAGUUCCAUCGAUGCAUUCUUGUCUUUUUUUCUUUUUUCUUUUUGUUGGAUUGAUGCUCUAAACUAAUCAUAUUUUACUAUUUCAGGUCCCUUUUCUUUUAGUUUUCACAUGGAUUGAUGCUCUAAAAAGUCGACUCCGUGACAUCAUUAUAUCAGUGAAGCAUCAGUUAUUCUCAUAAUUUUGUUUCCACCCUUCCGUAUUUAUGUCAUCUCAGCUUGUAUAGGAAAGUUUGCAUAACCAGUUUCUCAAGCUUAUCUGUAGCCAAAUUUUUACCCUAAAUACCUGCUCAUACUUACAGUUCAAUUUGAAUUGACCGAAAGCUAGGUCUAGUACCAUAUCCAGGCAGAAUGUGCAGUAAAGCACCCUUGUGUAAUGGUUAUUGCUUAUGCAGUUAUUCCAUAAGUGGUUCUAUCUUAUCUUCCAAAUAAUUCUCAGUAGGGUAGAUUUGAUAUUAUAAGUGUAAAUUUUUUAUCUAUACUCAAUGAACUUUCGGAUUGUAUUAUAUAAUAAUAAAUGUAGAUUUCAUUUUUAGCUAUACUCUAGAAUUAUAAAAGAUUUAACCUUUAGGAUCAUAGUAAUAAUAUAUUAGAAAAAUAAAUCGCUCGGUUUGGGGUUUACAUUGCUAUUAUUUAGUCUAUUUCUUUUUACUUCUCACUAAUCAUCAAAGAAAAAAAGACAAUAUUUAACACGUUUUUUUUUAAAUAGUAAUGCUAGACAUGCAAUUGCAAAUCCCAACUAAUGUUGUUCUAGUACAAAUCCACCACAAAUGGUAAAGUAUAUAAACCAACCCUUACAUUCUUUGUCACAAUUGUAUAGUAUUAUAGUUAAUAUUUUUCCAAUAUUAACUUUUUUUAGUAAAUUCUCACCCAUUCUUGAAAACUUACCAAUUGUGAUAUGUAGGAAAGCAAAGUUGAUAAAAUACUUUAAAAAAGAAAAGUGGAGAAUAAUAAUUUUUUUAAAAAAAUAAUAAAAUUAUCUCUUGCCUAAUAUUGGUCUUUAUUGUGGUAGCUUCACUUGGUGGGAUUCUCCUCCUAAUGAGUUUAAAAUAUUUAUUUCAUGCCAUGUCAAUAGAUUUCAAAUCCACCACAUGCUUUGGUAUUUGUCUUGACUUUAAGCAUUUACGAGUUAAGGCUUAAUAUGUCUUCUUAAGUGUUCCAUUUAAAAAAAUUAAAUGACAUUGUUCACAAAUGAGAGCAAAUUAAUAAAUAAAUGCCAAUGCCAUAAUAAAAACUCUUUAUAAUUCAACAAAAAAAAAAACUCUUCAUACAAAUUUUUACGUACAAACUGCUACGUCAAAAAAUAUUAAAAACGAUAAUAACAAUAAAAACUCUGCAUGAUUGUCUUUUUAAGAGUUUAUUACAUACUUAUAUCAAACUUCAUCAUUUUUUAUUUUUAUUUUGGGAUUUAUUGGAUAUGGUUAGUUGCCAUUUGUAAAGCGAAGUGGAAAUUGAUUGUUCAAGUUUGCCAACUUCUUAACUCUCUCUGUCACACCCUUGACUCUCAUUCUCUCUUCAUAACCGUCUUCUACUUCAAAGAAAAGGGGAAAAAAAUUGUAUUUUUUUGGUUCAUUCUCCAUGGAUUCAUCAGAAGGUCAAUCAUCCACAACCCACUUCAAUUCCCCUGAAGAAGAGGUCUAUAUACGUUUCACCUUUUUUUCUUUUAAUUUUUUUGGUUAAGUUGUAAUUCCAUUUUUACUUUUUAUUUUUCUUACAGUUGUUAAGAAAAUAAAAAGUGUAUGAUGUGCAGGUGGGUUUCAUUUUAGAAGUGAGAUUAAUAAAUUGAGAUUGAUUCAUGAGAAGGACAUGAAACAGAGUAGUUUCUGAAAAAUGAAAUUGGUGUUUGUUUGCUUAAGAUGUUUAUAUAUGUAAUUGUUACCGAGUUGUCUACUUAGACACAUGAUGUUUCUUUUGUUUGCAUCAUCUAAUUAAUCUCUAGAAUUCUUGCUUGUGAUCUUGUGAUCUUUUUCGGCAUAAUAUUGGAAACUUGUAUAACAUGAACUCCAGCUAUAAUGUGUGUUAGUUGGUUCAAUUGGUAAGUACAAUUAUGCAUCAUAUAAUCUCUCAAAUGCUUACUAGCUAGUAUAUAUCUUUAUAUACUAUGUUUUCUCUGUAAUUAUGAAGGAUGGAUUGAAUUUUGUUUUUAGACAUAAUUUUUUAAACUUGUAUUACAUAAACAGCAUCUAAAUUGUGUGUGGUAAUUGGUUCAAUCAGUAAAAUCUCUUGAGGUAAUACAAGAAAUCCAGGACUACUUAUUUCUAUGAUAAUCUCUUGGGGUAAUUGAUUCAACCUUAAUGAUUUGUAUGAUAAUCGUACCAGGAUUACUUAUUUCUAGUGUGAUUCAGUGAAACAUUCGUCGUACAGUAAUUAAAUCAUUAAUCAUCUAACCUUAUAAUUGUUAGUGACUCUCAUUUUGAGUGUAUCUUUUAGGAAUUUACUUUCAUUUUUUUCCUGUAGAUAAAUGUAUACUUGAAGAUCAUAAAAACAAGUACCAUGAAAGUUAAGAAAUCCGAGCCAAUCAAGAAUCUCAAAGCUAUGAUACAUGUGAAGGAAGGGAUAUCUGAAGAUAUUUGCGAUCUUUUCUUCGCUGGUGAUAGGCUCGAGGCAGGCAGGCUAGUUGAUUAUGGGAUUCGGAACAACUCCACUCUCCAUUUUCUUCACCAGAAUCUUAGUGAAAUGAAAUUGUUUGUGAAAAUUCCAACUAAUCAAACAGCCACUGUCGUGGAAGCAAUGCCUUACCAUACUGUUCAAAACAUCAAAUCAAUGAUUCAAGUUAAGGAGGGGAUUCAAUCCGAUCAAUUUACCCUUGUCUAUGAUGGAAAACUGCUUAAAGAGGACACGGCGACUAUGACCUCCAUGAAUAUCAAGAGUGAAUCAAUCAUUCAUUUGGUCUUUUGUCCAAAAGAGAUAUUAUCAAUUUUCGUGAAAGCAGCAACGGGAGAGAUUGUGAAUCUUGAAGUUAAACAUUCGUUUGCUAUUCGUGAUGUCAAAGCAAUAGUUGGGAGCGUUGUGGGUGUCUCUGCUGCGGAUCAUAUUAUGAUAUAUGAAGGAAAGAAGCUGGAGGAUUCUAAGACUUUGGCAUUUUAUGACAUGAAAGAUGAGUGCUUGUUAGAGAUGUUUCCUUCAUCGAUUCAGAUUUUUGUUAGAACACCAAUUGAGGAGAUUGUGAGACUCGAAGUUGAAGUGUUAAUUGUUGUUCGUGAUGUAAAAGAAAUUGUUGCGAACAUUAUCGAUUUAUCACUUGGCAACCAAGAUUUAUUUUAUGCUGGAACGAAGCUUGAAGCUUGCAAGACCUUGGCUAGUUAUGGCAUCAAAAAUAAUUACGUCUUAGACGUGCUACCUUCCCCAUUUCAGAUAUUUGUUAAGACUUGGGGUGGAAAGACUAUAACACUUGAUGUCCAGCCAUAUAACACGGUCCAAGAUGUGAAAGUCAAACUUUUUGACAAACUGCAGACUCCUCUUCAUCUUCAGAGUAUCGUAUUUGCCGGAAAGCGGCUAUUUGAAAACCAUGUUCUGGCAAGGUACAACAUCCAAAAGCAUUCGACUCUUCACAUGGUUUUGGCACCGUCUUCAAGGAUCAUCGAAUUGCCAUUAAUCUUUAUUGAUCCUUCAAUAUCACUGUCUAUUUCCAUUUCUGAAGUGAAAGAAAUGGCUAAAGUCAAAUUUCAAGCUGCAGUGAAGGAAUUAUUAGUCGAUCAAGUGGCAUUACAGGAUGACCGCACUCUGGCUGAUUAUGGUAUGGACUUGUCCGAGAAAGUGGUUCUCGUGUUUUGAGAAGGCAAUAAUAGAGUCUUAUUCCAUAUUGGUUGAUGCCAUUAUUUUACCUGAUAUAAUUACAUUUGAAAAUCUAUACACAGAUGCUUCAAAGGACAUGUAUUUUAGACCCUUUUCUUAAAUUUAUCUUUUGGAUGUUUGGUAUGUUUUGGUAUUAAGUGUGGAGGAUUAAAUAAAUAUCAAAACAUUCUGGGUAUAUGAAGCAGAAGCUGACAUUGGAAAUUAGUUUUGAGCCUUUAUUAUCUCUCUGUGGAAAUUAACUAGUUUCUCAAGCUUUAUCUGUAGUCAUUGUUUUGAUCGGAAAUACCGUGCCAUAAGGUAGAAUACUUUGCCGUAAGAAGCUCUCAUUGAAUUGUUUUUUUUUUGCCAAAUCCACGUUUUCCCUUUUCUCAGCUCAUAGCUGCCACAAGUUUUACCCCUACUUGAGUUUGCCAAAAAUAUCCUCAAAAUUUCACAUCUUUAAUCAUAAAUAUUCAAAGAUCCUAGAAAAAUACCAUCUCUGUAGAAUGUAAAAGAAAGUGAAAAUAUUUCAAGUUUUGAGCUUGUGCAAAUGGCAUUGAGCAUAAACUUGUAGUUUUCCAAUGUGCUUCUAAUGGUGAUAUACGCAAACACUUUCUUUCCACAUCUAGGUCCCAGGCAUAUGUACAUCUAUGUAGAAGCUUUUUCUAUUAUGAAUUGUUGAUCCUUUAAUGAAUGACACUGACAUGAUUAACAAUAGGUCUCAAGCUAUUUUUUUUCUCUGUAAGCUGCUUUUUCUAUGUACAGGUCAAAACAAACACAAGUUCUCUCUUCUCCACUUUGUUGAUUUUCUUGGCAUCCGGAACAUGGCAAGAAAAAAACAAAUACAAUGGUUGAUAAAAUAAGGUUUGAGUUCCAUCCCUCCGUCCUGAAGAUUUUGUAUACCUGUAAAAUUUACAAAUGGCUAGAUUCCUGCUGAAACUUACAUCUCAUCCCCUGUCUUCUUCGUUCGUUUCUACAACCGUACUUAGCUUUACCUCAGUUGUCUUCAUUCUCUGACCUGUGUCAGUAUCAGCCAAAGAAUUCCCGCCUUUUGAUUUCAAUGCUUUCGAGGGCCCUUCACUGCCCUUGGAUUUUUUCCGGCGAGAUGAUUUUGGAACACCAGCAGGAUCACUACAGGUUGACUGAUCAUCUCCUAGACUUGACUUGUUCAGCCCUCUUGGGGAAUCUACUGAAUACCUAGAUUGCUUUGAUCCAUCAGACCGCCGCUUGGUCGGGGAAUCUACGACUGAGCCUCCGCCUGUAGACGAUUUGCUUCUGGACUUAUGCUUAGGCUUAUCAGUAGUACUUUGAGGCUUUUUGUCUUGAGUAUCGUUAGAAACCAGCAACAUCAGAACAAUAAAUUUAGAUGUCUUUGCAUUGCAAAAAAUAACACAAUGGAAUAUGUUGUUCAAUGAAACAAACAGACCUGAUUCUAAAUAUUUCGCGGGGUUCUUCGAUUCUUUAAUAGAAUUAGAAGGCCGCUUUGCUAUUUCCGGAACACAUUUGAAGCCAGACAUCUGCACAAUUUUAUGGUAUUGUAGCCAUGGCACAUGUAUGCAUAAACAUUUUGUCUUUUAAAAAAAAUAAAAAAUCUAUUGCUUGAGAGAGUGUGAAAGGAAAACAGAAAUUACCCAGCUGGGAUCAACAGCGGAUGGACCAUCCCAGCCAAUAUGGGCAACAUGCUUUACAUCUGUGGGGAGACCAAUUUGCAUUUCUGGUUCUUUAGGUUGAUCUGCAAAAGCUCUAAUGAGCACCUUUGUAUCUAUAUUGAGAGGAAAAAUGCAAAAUGAAGUGAAUUAUAAUGUAAAAUAUGUACAGAAAUGAAAAAUUGUUCAUACCAAAUAUUUGUGCAAUGUAUCUCAGCCCUUUUAAUAGGCCCUUGACUGAUGUCAUUUUAGCUUAUAUUCACUGGAAACUUUCCUCCUCAGGUUGCUGCUGCUGCUUUUACUUGUUCCACUGCUAUUCAAAUGCCAAGAAAAAAAGGAAAAAUGAAAAUCAUAGAUGAGAAAUUACAUGAACCCAGGUACAAAUUUCACAUAAGCGAAUUAAAAUAAUAAACAGAUUAGAGAUACAAACUUGAAUCAAACCUCUAGGGGAAAAAAAAUAUUGAAGAAUAUGCCAUGAUCACUGCCUUUUGUAAUGUAGUAGUAAAUUUUCCAUUCUCACCCUCUCACCCACAUAACUCAAUUGCAGAAACAUGAAGCAAAUACCAUUUUACACAACAAUGAAAUUUUCCAAAAAGAAGACAAAAGCAUGAACAACUUCAAUUUAGUUUAUCUCAUUUUAUUUGAUCAAUUCUUGCUUGUUUUGGUUUCUAGGAAAGGAGAGCAAGAAACGGAAGAUUUCAAAAGCAAUCAAAGUCGAGCACAGCCCUUUUGUUUUGACAGACGCGUGAUCCGUUCCUGUAACCAGUCAAUGGAAGCCAGUAAAUGACCAAAUUUUUGGGAUAAAAAUCUAGAAAGGCAAAACCAAAAAUAAAACCAAAGAGGAUUGGCUAAAUAUGCGCAGCCGUUUUGAUGAAAACGCGGGAAAAACGGUUAGGAAGUAAAUGUCUGGUAGUUUGGUUAUGACGUGUAUGCCGUAGGUCUGUUCUUUUCACAUCAUCCGUGGGCAACAAUUAAUCAAUACAAUAUGCGGAAUACGGAUAAAGGAUGCCUAUAAAAUUAUUAAAUGCUUCAUGAAAACAUUGUAAGUUUGGGAUUGUUUAUUGCCGAAGAUAUUUUGGGUCACUUCGUAUAUAUUAGUGCUGAAAAUGUUCCCCGUCUACAAGCCUAGGUCUGGGUUUGUGGUUCUCGUGAGUGAAAAGAUUUUUGAUCGGUCACUGCAACACAUCAUAAGGAGAAAUUAUAGAAUACUUCUGAUUUAAUACAUGCAUAAUGUGUGUAGUUAAAUUUAAUAUGAACGCCACUUGUAUGAUGGUUUUUUAAAAUAAAUACACACAUAUUAUAACAUCAUUUGCUUAUUGUAUAACUGAUAUAAUAUCUCUAAUAUAUUCUAUAAUUUCUAACUAUUAAGUGUAAGUGUGUGAAUUCUUAUUGAUGAGAAAAAGACUUAUUAUUUUUUUUUUUAUAUUAAUCACGAGGUAUUCUGAGGAGGGCCCCAACUGUGGGAGACACCUUUAAACCCGUACCACAACUCAGAUUAAAAGUCCCCGCUCGAACCGGGAGAAAAAGACUUAUUAAGGGCAUACAUGAGUUCCGCGACCAAUUAGAAGGUGUCAUAACUACUAUCUCACAAAUCAAGUGGGUUCCACAAAUUUUUUAUUUUCCAAAUCUCAAUUAAAGAGGGUGGUUCCCCUACCAAACCCCCCCCCCCCCCCCCCAANNNNNNNNNNNNNNNNNUCCCAAAAUCCUACAAGAAAAACAAUUUGGUGAGGCAAUGCAAUCAAAUUAUAUUUUUAAAAUAACUCAAAUACAAAUCUCGUAGGUUAACAAACGAUAUUUUAUCCAUCUAUCCAUUGAACCAACGAACAUCCCACUUUUAUUGAUUUUUAAAUUUUAUGUGUAAUUUGUAAACGAAGUAAUAAUAAUACUUCGAGAAGAAGCAACCAAAUUAGGCUGGCAGAUGUUAAUAUCAGUCCCAACCACAAUUACGAUUGUCGUUAAUAAAUUUUUCUCUUUUAGUUCGGAUCAUUAGUUAUAUUUUAGAAGAUUUAAAUGAUUAAAAAACUAUACAUUUUUAACUUGCUAAAAAAUUAACCAAACAGACAUGUUAUUCAACUCAAUUGGAAUUUUAGUCAACUUCGUAUUAGUAUCUAGUUUUCCGAUGAAUGUGUCACCCGGCAUAAUAACAAAUUUCAAAUCACUAUUACGAGCAACAAAAUUAGAAACUAAUGAGGCAGUCCAAAAUCCAAAUCAAACAUUCGCAAUUUUAAGGAAGUACAAGUUUAAACCGGAAGAGGUUAGUCGAUUGGACAAUAUGCGGUAUAGAUUGAAGUCAGCUGAUUGUUUAUCACGUCCAUAUAUUUAGAAGCCAAUGGAAAAAUGUCCAGAAACUAAAAUGGCAAAGAAGUUGACACUCAAGUGUAAAGCAGAGCAGCAGCCACUGAUCGUGGGAAUUUUUCCACUAUGAAGCU
rnacentral:lncRNA from 1 species